rnacentral:lncRNA from 1 species
UGAGAAUGGAGAAAGCAGAGGAGCUGUUGUUGUUUCAGUGAAGGAAGAAGCUAUGGAAUCUGAAAAUGAUGACAAAAUGAUUGAACAGAACAAGCCAAAUGAUCUUCUUGAAGAAGAAGAAGACGAAGAUCAAGAUCAAGAUGAUGAUGUCGAGAUCAAUGCUACUAUUGCAUCCACCAUUUUUGCUGAUUUUAACAAAGAUGGUUCCUCAGAUAGUGACAACUCAAGUGCAAUCUUGAAUGAAGAUAACAGUCCAAAUGCUGCUGCAAUUUCAUCGUCUGGUGCAUUCUUGAUCUCUAAUGAUGGUGGGGUUGGUUGUUCAUCUCCGUUGAAUUUCACCUUCAAGUUCACAGAAUCAAGUCCAAAGUCAAUUCUUGGAGAUUCCCAAAAAGCUAAUUGUUUUACUUAUCAACCUUCGUCAACAACAACAACAACACAGUAUGUGAAGAUGGAGGAACAUAAUUUCUUCAACGGCGAAGAAUCCUGCAGUACUCUUUUCUCAGAUGAACAAGCUCCUACACUUCAAUGGUACUGUUCUGAAGAUUGGAACUUUAAAGACACUCCUAGUCAUCUUUCUUGAUCAUGAAUAAAGGAGGAAAUUGUCUUAUGGAACCAAAUUUUGUAUAGUGGUUAAAAAAAUUGCCUAAUGGGAACAAAGUGAAAAGAUGAAGUUUUUGGAUUUUUCCCAAGUUGAAGAGGGGGUUGUGGGGNNNNNNNNNNNNNNNNNNNNNNNNNNNNNNNNNNNNNNNNNNNNNNNNNNNNNNNNNNNNNNNNNNNNNNNNNNNNNNNNNNNNNNNNNNNNNNNNNNNNNNNNNNNNNNNNNNNNNNNNNNNNNNNNNNNNNNNNNNNNNNNNNNNNNNNNNNNNNNNNNNNNNNNNNNNNNNNNNNNNNNNNNNNNNNNNNNNNNNNNNNNNNNNNNNNNNNNNNNNNNNNNNNNNNNNNNNNNNNNNNNNNNNNNNNNNNNNNNNNNNNNNNNNNNNNNNNNNNNNNNNNNNNNNNNNNNNNNNNNNNNNNNNNNNNNNNNNNNNNNNNNNNNNNNNNNNNNNNNNNNNNNNNNNNNNNNNNNNNNNNNNNNNNNNNNNNNNNNNNNNNNNNNNNNNNNNNNNNNNNNNNNNNNNNNNNNNNNNNNNNNNNNNNNNNNNNNNNNNNNNNNNNNNNNNNNNNNNNNNNNNNGGGGGGGGGUGAAAAGGGGGUGGUAGGGGUGAUAAGUAAAAAAAAAAAAGGGAGAUGAAGAAAAAUUCAAGAAAAUGGUUAUGGAGAGAAAAAGAGCUUCCUUUGUAAUGGCAAAUAAAAGUGGCUAAAAGUAUAAAUAACCAUGCAUUCUAUAUUUGAAUGAUUUUAUAAUCCUUUUUCCAUGCAUGAAGGGAAAAUGAAAAUGGUAAUUCAUAAUUAAUAAUUAUGCUUUUAAAUUAUUUGAUAUGAAAAGUUAAACUCAUCAAUCCAGGCACAUUUCGAGAUUCAAAUAAAUCUAUCUUUGAUUGUAAUUUUUUAUAUGUUUUUUAGAACUUUUGAAUUAUUAUUUAUUGUGACUUAUAGUAUUUUUUACGUAGUUUACAAAUAUGUAAAUUUCAUAUAAAAAUUUGAAGAUUUAAUGAGUAAAUUUUUUAUUAAAUUUAAAUUAUUUGACUCUUAAAAAAUGUAGUGUCAUAUAAAUUGAGACAAAAGAGGAGCUUUUCUCCUUUGUUAUAAUCUAUGUGAACAUUAUUUUAAUAGUCUAUUUGAAGAGAAUUACACGAGUAAUUUGAAAAUGUUUGCUUCUCAUUUUAAGAGCCACACAAAUGAAAGAAUAUAUUUUAAAUGACAAGUUUUAUGAUUAAAUAAUUUAUUUUUACAUAAUUUAAGAAUAUAUAUAUUUUACAAAUUUCUAAAAUUUUUUUGUAGUCUUUAAGUAUUUAAUUAUUAUUGUCGGUUGAUAAAUAAUAUAUUUUAAUUUAGCUUUAAAAGUGGUUAAAUUAAUCUUUUUUUUACAUUGAUAACCAGAAAAGUUUAAACAAAUUGGGAAACGCAUCAAUACAAUAUGUUAUAUUUAGUAAUUAUCAGAAUUUUGAUUACAAAUCCUAAUGAAUUGUCAUAAUAUUUACUCCCUCCGUCCCUAUUUAGUUGUUCACUUUAAAAAUAUGACACACAGAUAAGGCAACAAUGAUUAGCAUAGUAAAGUUACAAUUUUACCCUUAUAAUACAAUUUACUUCCAAAAUAAAUUCACUCAAGAUAACUAAUCAAUGCUAGGAAGUUCAUAAGUUUAUUUAUUUUAUUUAUGACAAUUUUUCACUUUAAAUAAGGGUAUAAUAGGAAAAAAAUUGUUGUCCUUUCUUGAUUUGUCAAAAUGGACAACUAAAUAGGGACAACUAAAAAAGGAAAUAUGGACAACUAAAUAAGGACGGAGGGAGUAUUUAAUAUUUGUGGUAUAUUUUGAGGUUGUACAUAAUUUAUAGAAGACUAUAAUUGCAAUUAAUAUAUUUUUCAAAGAUUUGAAACAAAAAAACAAAUUGACACGCCACCUUACAAGAUUAGGAGGACAUAUUUAAUUUUCAAUAAUUCAAAACUACAUUGAAAUAAAUAAGAUUUUUUUAUACUACUAAGAUAUUUUUAUUUUUCUGUAACAAAUGACGUAUCUUAUUUUAAAAACAUCAAAAAUAAAUAAAAUUGGACUUAACUCAUCAACUUAAGCUAAUUCGAGAGCUGGGAAUUGUUCAAGUCGUAUCAAAGAGUCCAUUCACCUCUUAAAAGAUCGAUGUCAGACUCUUCACUAAAUAGUAUACAAAUUUAUUACAUUAUCGAUGUCUGUAACUUAAACUCAGAACGAACCUAUUUUCUUAGAUUCUUCCUAACACUAUUAUAGUUCAUUAAAUCCACUGUUCACCUAAUUCAAAUUUGCAUCGUAUAAAAUCCAUUUAAGUGAAAGAGAAUCUUUUUUAUUUUUCAAUUUAACCCAAAAUUUCUGAUUUAAGAAUAAAUUGAUCUUAUCUAUCCCACUACAUCAUCGACGUAUUAAAAAUUAUAAUAGAAAUUUAUUUGUUUUUUUAGCUAAAUAAAACCUGGCCAGAUAAAAGCCUUUUAUUUUCAGAUCUGGCCUGUCACUAUGCUUGUGUGUGAACAUUUAUAUAAACUUAUGUUUUGUGUCUUUCAUUGAAAAAGACAUUUUUUUUAAUGUUUUCUCUUGGGUUUAGGUGUACUUCUUUAAUAUAACCAAAUUUGAUAAAUCUUGAAAAUAAUAAUAUAUUUGAAUUAAAAUAUAUAUAUAUACUUAGUUAACUGUACGACUAAAUUGAUAUUGUUAAAAAUUAAACAUAUCAAUGUUCAAUAAAUUAUCAAAAUUAUUGGUGAGAGUAAGUUUUUACCCACUUUAUCUUAUGUUUUGAGUUGAGGGCUCUCCCUCCAUUUAUCGAGUUAAAUAAUUUGUUAUAAAAAAAUUAUUCGUUUAUAUCAUGAUAUGUUUUUUUUCAGACAUUCGAACACUUGAUUGUAAAAAUAGAAACUUUUUUUUUCCAAAUACUAUCCAAAAACUAAUUGAAUUUGUUAGGCCAAAGUUGCCUAAAGAAAUUUUUUUACCAGACUUUUAAUUUUAUAUAUAUUUCAAAAAGAAGAACAAAAGGAAAAAGACAAAACAUUAUGAUAAAAAAAAAAAGGAACAAUAUGGAAAGAAGUGCCACAUGAUUGAAAUUUUAUAAAUAUGCGUUCCUUUUUUAUAGCCGUAGCUUUUUGCAUUUCAUUUCAUUGGUAACUUUUAUGUGUUUUAUUAAAGUUAGCACUUUUUUUCAGUUUACCAUCUGUACGCAUUUUGAGGUCCGAUUAAUUUAGAUUUUGCGGCAAUAAUAAUAACUAUAGAAUAGUAUAAUAAUUUUAACACAAUAUAUAAUAAAUGAUGAUAGAAUUAAAAGUGAGAUAUUAUAAGAAUACAACCAAACCCUUCAUAAAGCAAAACAACACUUCAUACCUGCUAACCUUUUAUCAUAAUCGCGAUCUUCACAUCCUCUUAUCUAAGAUCAUGUCAUCAAUAAUCUAGAUAUGUGUCACGUAUUGUUUAAUCACCUCUCCAUAUUACAUUUUAAGCCUACCUCUAUCUCUCCUCGUACCAAUCCAACUUUCUCGCACCUUCUCACUUAGAAUAUGCACAUCGUUUUUUCACCUGUCCUAACCAUCUCAAUCUUUCUUCCCUCGUUUUGUCCACCACUGAGGUCACUCUCACCUUGUAUAUGGUCGUAUUCUCAUUCCUAAUCUUGUAUCUCCUAGUGUGACUACACGUCUAUCUCAACAUCCUCAAUUUCACAACUUGUAUCUUCUGGACAUGAAAGUUCUUGACUAACCAGUAUUCUGCUUCAUACAUGAUGCAACAAUGUUGGUCUAACCACCACUCUGUUUAGAUAGUACCUUCUUAUCACACAAGACCCAAGAAGUCUUUGACCUUACAAACACCUCAAAAGUUAAUCUAGAAAGAGUAGCAUUGUCCACACAUUAAUAACAAAAUUCAAAAUUUUCAUCCUUGAUCGAUGAAGUACAUUUCUCCUCAACAAAAUUUCAUUAUAUACCAAUAAAACUCAUUCGAGUUUACAUUAAAUAUCUAGAAUAUUAUCCUCAAGACGAUUUCAAAUUAGUCAGACUCUAAAACGAAUACGAUUUUUUUUAUAAAAAAAAAGACAUUGCGUGUGUGUGUUGCACAUAGUCCAAAAUGUACUACACCAUAAAAGCAAAUAGUCUUUUUCUUACUCAUAUUUUUCCCUGCAAAAACUCACAUGUCCAUUAACUGUGAACACCUGCACAAUACACACUUGUGACUUUGUGUGUGUGUGUGUGUGUGUUUUUCUUGUAAGUAUCUAUGACUUAUUUUUUAUAAACAAUGUGCCUAGGAGUUACGUAAAACCAAAUCUAGCCUUGUGACUUUUACUGAAACACUGAAAUUAACAGGCUAGACCUAACCUAUAUAGAUAUAUAUAUAUUCCUUGUUCCAUACAUUUUUGUUUGUGAUCAAUUGGAUAAGAACAUUUUUCUUGGAAAUUGUUCUCUUCUGAAUGAUUGAUACUCCGAUUCAUUCGUCUCAAAUUAUCUAUCGUAUUUAAGUUUAGUUAGUUUAGGAGAAUGUUAUUAAGACUGUCAAUAGUUCAGAAAGAAAUCUAAUCAUUUGUAUCAAGUUCAGAAGUGUUUUCAGUGCUUCUCUCUAUUAUUAACUGAUUGACUUUGAAUUAACACUAAGUUCUCUGAUUUAUUGUUAUUAAUGAAAUAAAACGUAUAACACAUGUCACGUAUCUACUAUUUCGAUAUAAAUAUCAAAUGAGAGUGAAUUUAUAUUGAUACAGAGGUCUAAAUUAUUCCCCAUGUAUCAUGCUUCCAUAUAAUGGGUUAAUCAGUGGAUCGAAAGAUAGAAUUUUCACUAAGUUAAUAUAUAAUAUGAUUUUUUUGAUAAAAAAAAGUAUUCAAAUGCAAAAAAUAAUUAUUAUUUUUAAUUAGGGAGAGAUUGCAAGCAUAUAAAGGCAAGAAAUAAAGAAGAGAGAAAACGCAACUUUCUUAACUAUAUAAAACAAGAAAAACCAAACACUAAAUUUAUUGAACUAUCUAUAUAUAAUGAGGAUAUUAGUCGUGGUUGUGUUCAAAACUGAGUGCUCGUUUGAUAAGACGAAUAAGAAAUAAUUAACUUUAAAAUUAAUAUAACAUGAGUUUGUCUUAUAUUUGAUUCAUAUAAUUUAUCUCAAAAUUAUAGUAUUAUUUUAAUUUUAUCUUAUAUUAAAGAUAGAACAAUAAAUUUAAAAUUAUUUAUCCUAAAAUAACUUAUUCUCCGACCAAACAAGUCUAAAGGUGUUUGGUGGAAGGCAUUGUCACAAAAUUAAAUUAAAUUAAAUUAAAGUAGAUUCCUCCAUUUGUUUUCUUCCCCUAUCUAUACCAAGGGCAUACUUAUUAACGUUAUAGAGAUGUCCCCUCCAUCGAAAGGGACCUAAUUUCUAAACUAUAUCUAUCAACAACAAAAUCGUAUAUUUAAUGUAAUUUCAUAUAAGUAAAUUUAAAAAUAGUGACGUAAUUAGAAAUUUAAUGAAAAAUAUGUAAAAAAAAAUUCUCAGUUAUAUUAAAGAUGUGUAAAAUUAAAUAUACAUUCAUAAUAGCUAAGCAAUUAAGCUUUGUACACUACAAAAUUUGUUGCGAAGAAUAUACACCAAACUAUCUUUCACUUAAAGUGGUUCCGCUCAUGUCUAGAAGGAUGAUGUACAUGUAGACCUUAUUCCUAUUUAUAUUAAGGUAAGGAGAUUGUUUUUGAAAAAUUCUUAAAGAGUAUUAAAUGAGUUUUUUUUUUUUUUUAAACAAUAUAGUAUCUGAAAUUUACUGGUCCAACUACUUUAAAUUUAUGUUAGAUAGAGCUUAUUUCAAGGAAAAAAGCUUCCUAGAUUUAUCCAUAUUUCUCAGAAUUCAAAUAAAAAAUCUUUCGUUAAAGAUAUCCCAUCAAAUUCCUUGGUGAUCAAAGGAAAAUAAUCUCAUUACUCAGUAUUGCCAAGGACAAAUGUAUAAGCUUCGAGGUAUGAAUUCAAUAGAAUCUAAUAAUUUUAGCCAAAACAUUGUAUGUAUAUAUAUAAAAAAAAGUCAAAACUUAAUUAUUUGUAAUUGAGGUCGCAACAUUAGAAUUCAGAAUAAUAAAGUUCAAAUUUUGAAUUUACUACGACACAUUGCUCCAUCCUACAUCUUAAUUAGCUUAGGUGCUUCUCAUAAGCUUAUUUUAAUCAAUGGUGGUCUCUCCUUCCACUUAAUUAUAAGGAGAUAUAACCAAUUAUAGCUAAUAAAUCACUCACUUUAAUUAUUAAUCACCUUUUUAGGAUGAAUAUUUUGAAUUAUUUAGGUUCAUUAGAAUUCAGGCAGAUACAUAUAUAGCACCCAAGGUGGCAUGCUCCACUUUCUUCACUCAAUAAAAAAAAAGUUCAAAAAAUCAUUAUUAUACAUAGGAAAAUGCAAGUUAUAUUGUUCUUUAAUUUGCCUUUUGGCUUCACUUUAAGAACAUUAUAUUAUAUUAUUGCAUGAACUCUUUUAAUCUGUACGAUGAUAGUGCAUGCCGGCAAUACCUAGAUUUAUAAAUGUUGGUAGCGCUCGAGUCAAUUUACGUGAUAUUUUUUAAUUAAAUAUAAAAUUUAGAAAUAAAAUUGUGUGAAAUUUAUGAUCAUCUAAAAAAAAGUAAAAUAUAUAUUUAUAUUGAUUAUGAAUUCGUGAAUUCAGCAAUUUUAGUUUAAAUAUAAUUAUAUUAAUUUUACGAGUUAUUGAAUAUGUGUAUAUUUUAUGAGUUAAUAUGCCGUACGUCAACUAAUAAAAACAGAAACUAAAAACAUUAAAAUCCCAGACGGCAAAUUUUUUUCUAUUGCUAUAUAUUUUUAUAAUUAAUUUAACUUUCUUUAUAGUAUUUGACACUGACUUUAAAUUAUUUAUUUUACCUCAUUGUCAUUUUCAAUUUCUUUCUUUUAGCAACGAUUAGUUAUAAAUAAUUUCCAGGUUAUACUUUUCCAAUUAUUAUUUUUAGAACAAAUCAAAUCAUGAAAAUGAAAAUUAUCCAAUACCAUACUCCUCUUAUUUUUUUGGCAUUUUAUUUAUUAUUGUUUGAGAAAAAAUUUCCGCAAAAAAAUUAUCAAAAAAUAAAUAAAAUUCUUUCGAUUCUCCAGAUUUUCUUAUCAUAUUUGAAUUUUAUCUUCUCAAAGAAAGUGCAACGCAUUUACAUAAAAGUAUACAAUUAUUUUUAAAAAAUUAGCUAAUCACUUGAAUUUAAGUAACUAAUUAAUCUAAUUAAAAAAACAAUGGGAACAAAGACUGGUAACCAAAUUUGGGAUUAUGUAGGUGCAGGAAAAUUUCCCAAUUAGGGGGGAAAUGAUUAUCCUAAUUAAUUAAAAUAAUCCCAAGACAUAAGUCAUCCUUUUGAUUUUAUUUGAUUUUAUUGGAAAAGAAAUUAAGGCUUUCACUUUCAACUUUAAUUUAUUGAACUUUUAAUUUGUUGUUUUUAUAUAAAAGAAGAUGGGGACAUAACCAUCCACAUAAGAAAAGAUUUGCCCAUAGAAAAUAACAUGUUACCAAUUAUCCAAUUUUUUAAUUAAAAAAUAAUAGGUGGCUUCUAUCAACCAAUGGACUAAUUAAAUAUAUCAAUAAUAUAUUCAGUGUAAUUCCAUAAGUGUGAUUUGAGUAAAGUAGGAGAUACAUAGAUUUCAUCUUUACAUUUUUGAGAUAAAAAACUUAUUUUCAACAGACCGUCAGCUCAAAAGAGAUGAAAUCGGAGCAAAAUUGCAAAAAAAUAACAACAAAUUUGAAUAAUAAAUAAUCCUACAUAAAAAAAAAUGUUAGCUGUUUUGCUUAAUGCGAUAAAUUCAUACCGAAAUUUUCGUCGAUAAUUACUUAAUAAAUAACUUUUUCUCUUAUUUACUUUGUGAUUCAAGAAUUUAUUUUAGAUCACGAUCUAAAAAUUCUUUCUAAGUAGAUAAAAUUUCUUAUAAAAGAAUUAUUAAACUGAUUUAUACAAAAUUUUAUAGUAACUUCUGGAAAUAGGGACAAAUUUUAAACAAGUUAUUUGUCUAAAUCAACCAACUUCACAUAGUUCAUUUUGUAAUAUUUGCAUUAAUUAUAGGUCUAAUUAAAAAUUAUGCAACCACAAUUUUAAAGGACCACUCCACUAAUUUUUCCCAAAUGUUCACAAUUAUUCUUGGUGUUUUUAAGCUGUCAUUUGGGUGUGGAUUUGAUACUAAAGUAUAAUAUUUAUGUCUCAAAGACUUGGUACACUAUGAGUUGGCAAAUUUUUAAUGGAAACUUUAUACUAAAUUUAAAUGGUUAUUUUGACAAUUAUGCCAAGUAUAUAUAUAGAUCUACAUAGCUAAGAUGUGGCUAGAUUCACUCUGAAAUAAUUUAUAUUAAUAAUCAUAUACAUUGAUAGGCUAAUUAUUAUGUUAACACAUUGUAGUAUUAUUAGUAAUAUUUGAGAGUAUGGUGCUGCAAGAAAGGAGACAAUUCGAUUGUGGCGUGGAUGAGAUUUCUUCACUCUAAUAAAAAACAAUUCUCUUACAAUGAAUCGUAUUCGAAUUAAUCAGACUAGUUGAUACUAGCUAAAGGAGAAAAAGCUCCCCCACUAUAGUCUAUAGGGACUUUUUCAUUCACAAAAUUCGAAUAUGAAAUCUUUGAUUAAGAAUGAAGGAUUAAUCUCAUUGAUCUUUUGAUUUUUUUUUGCUUUUACGUAUGAUCACAAUUACUCGAGAGAGAAACAUCCUACUAUUUAGAGGUGAAAUUAAAAAUUUGAGUUUUAAAAAUUUAAUAUUAAAUUCAUUAUAUAUUUUGAAUUAUUGAUUCAGAUGUACUAUAUGUUGCAAUUUCAAUAAAUAUACACAAGUUUUCUACUAGAAUUAGUGUAUACAAUGUUUUAUGUUGAGGAAAAGUUGUGAUAACUUUAAAAAAAGAAAUUAAAUUUGAUAAUGGUGACCUACUUGAAUUAUAUAAUAUUUCAAGUACACAUUUUUAUUUCAUAUUAUCUGACAAUACUAAUCUUAGUCUCUGUUAAUUAGCAGCUGAUCCUGUGUUUAUUCCUUUGAAUUUAAUAAACACAACCCCAUGUGAAAUCCAAAAUAUGAAAACAUAGUUAGUACAAUUUAUAAUUGUUUAAAGUUUUUUUUCUGAUGAAGAAAAAUAAGGAGUAUUAUUUUUUUUUGGAUCCCCCUUAUUCAUGGAUCCAUAUAAUAACUUUUGAACAAAAAUAUUUUAUCACUAUAGAUUAUGAUAGAGUAGUAAGUACUUAUUUUUUCUUCUUUAAUCAUGCAUCUCGUGUUUAAGUUCUAGUUCCUAUAUAUAAAGUCGUUUUUAACAGAAUGAGCUUUAAUUUCUCCUCAGAAAGUGAGACUUUCGGGAUGAAUUCAAAUUUAUAGUAUUCUACAGCGAACAUUAAAUACCGGAUGAGAAGCUAAUAAAAAACAAUUAAAAAGCUCUUUUUGCGGAGGAAAAUGAAAAUCAAGUUCUUUUUCAAGGGGAGUCUUGAAGUAACGAUAAAGUCAGUCACAGGUUUGAAAUGUGAAAACAACCACUAAUGCUAAUAUUAGAGCAGAUUAUAUGUAUCACACUCUUUGAAAUGCAGUCCUUUCAUAAAUCCAAUGUGAAUACAAAAUAUUUUGUGCAUCGAACUAUCUGCCUUCUAAAGAGCGGAAAUCAAGAGUGAUGGGAAAGAAAAAAAAAGUUAAAAAGCUGACUAGUUUUGUUCCAUUGGUUGGAUUCCAUGGGCUGGGCCUACAAGAAAUGUUACCUGGGCCCACCAACUAAAGCCUCUUUCUUAUGUGGGCCAGAUCACUCUUAGGCCCGGACAAAAAUGGCCCCUAUGAAAAUGACAAGUUUUAGGCCCUAUUUGUACCCAAAGGAAAAGUUGUACUCACUUGCCUCCAUUGCAAGUGUACUCCACCUUCCUUUUAGGUGUUAAAAAGUUUUUACGUUUAUUCUCAAACAUUUAUUACGUAGAUCAGUUAAUCACUUAAAAUAUGUCAUAUUCUUUAAUUAUAUACAUUAGCCAGAAUAAGCGGUAAAACCUUAAACUUGUUUAAGUUGAGACUGAUGUGUAUAAUUAAAAGAGGUGAAAUAUUUUAUGCAAUUAAUUUAUCUAUGCUAUAGGCGUUUGCAUACAUACGUAAAAUAUUUCAAAAUUUGAGUUGAGAGUUUUAAAUAUGAACAUAUUAACAUUUGUUCAAAUGCUCAAUUAAAAUAAGUUGUAGUAAAAAACUAUAAACAAUUUAUUAGUCACUUUAUUUCAGUUUAUCUGUCUUAAUUUUCUUUUUAAUCUGUUCCAAAAAGAAUAUCUCUUUUCCUUUUUGAUAAUUUUGUACUACUAGUUUUUCACGUGACAUGUUUAAAUCUACAAACUAAAUAUGAUAUUUUGGUAUACUAGAUACCUUAAAUGUGAGAGCAAGAUUCAAAUAUUUUCUUUAGUUUUUAAAUUACGUACCAAGUUAAAAUCAGACGAAUAAAAUAAAUUGAGACGAAGAGAGUAGCAAAUUUAAGUGACACUUGGUUGGAAAAGUGGUGAGUCACAUGGUUGGUGGGAAAUUGAGCACACAAGCACCAAUAUAUGUCAUGUCCAAAAUUUCACAUCACAAGGAAUCACACAUACGUUAAACAAACUUUAUGAAUUUGAAUUCACAAUUUCUAUCAUAUCUUAUUUAAUAAUUUACUAUACUCAAAAUUAAAUAUUUACAUUUUUAGUGAAGUUUAUAAAAACACCUUGUAUAAUUAUAAUAAAAAUAAUGUAGGAUAUAUGCAUAUCUUUUAAAAGCAUGUUUGUGAAGUAGAGCGAUGGUUAUCAAGUAAAAUAUACAUUCAAAUAUUUUUUAAGGUUUUAAAAUUAAAAUUCCCAAUUUAUAAUUAACUAAAGCUUAUUUUCUUUCGCGAUUGAAGAUAGAAAUAUACUUCAAUUUAAAAAAUGUUUCUUACAAAAUACGUACAAUUUAUUUAUUGCAGACACUUAAUACGAUAUUUGACUAGUCUUUGCAUUUAUUUAUUUUUGGUAAAGUACGUAGUGACCAAGUCAACUUUGACAUGACUACGAUUAAAUCUUGAAGUUUUUAAAAAGAAUUAAAUUAUAAUAUUUUAAAAAGAAAAAGAAUGAAAAUACAAUAUUUAAAAAGAGAUGGGGUGAAUUUUAGGAGUUGUUUUAAUUUAUAAAUGAAAAUUAAAUUAUAAACAAGUAGGUGUAUUUGGGUAGAAGGGAUUCAACAUGUCACAUAUAGAUUCAUGAAAAUGUAAGAAUUUUUGCUCAGAUUUUAUAUAAUAAUUUCUAAAUUCGUGUGUAAUAAUUAGAAACCUAAAAAGACAAGAAACACGAGUUAUAUUUUUUAAUAUUUUUCUUAUAUAUAGCCUAGCUAUUUGAUCACUAAUAUGCAUGUACAUGUCCUAUAAUAUCUAUUUGUUUUUUUGUUACAUUUCUUUUUCAUAAUCUAGGGGACCAUUAUAUUCUAGAGAUGAGAAAUUGGUGAUUAGAGUGUUUAUUAUGAGAAAAUUGACAAUAUAUAUGUAUAGGUUCAAUAUAGUUAUCAAUAUUUGACAAAAACUUAUAUCUAAAAGUUGAAACACCCUUCCUAUAUACACAUGCACUUCAUUCAUCCAUCUAACUUGGACCAUUAUUGAACUAAUUGACUCUUCCGUGUCGGAUUCAUCUGAAUUUAAUAUAUCAAUGCAACAUAUAAAUUUUAUAUAAAAAUUCGGAAAAAUUUCAAUGAGUAAAAAAUAUGAACCAAUAAUUUUAAAAUUAGAAAACUUUUUGGACCUAAUUAAACAUGGAACAAAUAUCAAUGAUUCAUUAUGUUUAGUAAUUUGAUCAGGGUGGAAAAAUUAGCCUAUAAAGUUAUGAAUCACUCAAUUAAUUUUGAGUAGUUCAAUUCAGCCCAUCUAAAAAUUGUGCUGAAAUAUAGCAUGAAUAUUAACACAUGACAAAAGUAUUUUUAAGAACUUUUUUUUAUAUAAAAUAUUAAAAAGAAAAUUAUAUAUAAUUUAGCAGAAUACUAUGGGGCGAGAUGGGACAGGGAGUGGGGGUAUGGGGUGGGAUGGUCAAGGCGUGGAAGUUGGGGGCAUUGUGCGGAGAUGGUGAACUAGAAAUAUCGUUUAUAUGAAACUUAUUUUCUCUACUUCCAUUAAAGAAAUUAUUUCCUUAUGAAUUUCUUUUUGAAACGUAGCACAAUCCACUCACCCCUUAAUACAUUUCAUAAUGAUUUUCAAGAGUUUUGAUGGGACGAAAAAGAAUCAUGACCAAUGCAAAUAUAGAUUAAUUAAAUAUAAAUAUGAUAUUUAUGAAAGAUAUCAAAUCCUAGAGAUAAUUAGGCAAAAAGUUGGCAAUUAAACAAAACGAAUGAUUAAAUUGGCAACUUUGAUUGAAUGGAUUAAUCUUAAUUAAACUUACUCUAAAAGGGACUUAGAAAAAAGACAUUUGCUUACUCUUAACACUCAUGAGUCAUGACCAUCAUAUAUACAAAACAAUGAAAAGCCAAUUCCAAUAUCCCAAUAUUACAAGACAAGUUGUAAAUCUUUAAUUAAUUAAGUGUGAUUAUUGAUUAAUCUUGUCUCCUAAUCAAGCAUAAAUGGAUGUAUAUGUAUGGUCCUACCAAAGAAUAAAUAGGAGCUUUUGAAGGUACUUCGUUCACUCUCUCCGGUCCAUUUUACUUGUCAUGUUUAUUUCUUCAUGCUCCUUAAGAAAAUAUUAACUGAAAAGGUAAUUUGACUAAUUAAAUUAUCCUUAUUAAUCCUUUGAUCAAUCUCAUUUUAGUAUUAUCCUCUUUUCACCGCCUUAAUCUCUCUCCAAGUUUCUUGAGUAAGGAUAAUUAAGAUGAAAACAAAUAGUUUCUAAAACGACAAUUAUUUGAGACUAUUUAUUUUUAGUAAAGAUGAUAAGUAAAGUGGAUCGAAGAGAGUAAUUUCCGACAUUAUUUUAUGGGGUUAAAUAUGAGAAAAUGGUAAAAAUGGUUCGGAACACCGCUCCGAGAAAUUGGGCCAACAAUGCACGAAUUUAAAUUAUUCAAACUACCAUAUAAAUACUAGACAUCGAACGAAAAUCAGAUAAAAGAUCUUAGUAUUAAUAUAGACUAGGAUUAGAGCUAAAAGUUAGACCUUUUCAUACUCCUAAACAAUUUUAAUCCUUUAAAUUUAUUAAAAAGUAAAUAAUUUCAGGAACAAAGUUAAAGGACGUCAAUUUGAAUUUCUGAUUCUAUCACUAGAUCUAACAAGCAAAUUUAACCAUUGAUAUAUCGAAAUGACUAAGAUUAAAACUUUUAUUAAGCGGAAAGAAAUACAAAUGAUUAUAUGUUACAACCCCAUNNNNNNNNNNNNNNNNNNNNNNNNNNNNNNNNNNNNNNNNNNNNNNNNNNNNNNNNNNNNNNNNNNNNNNNNNNNNNNNNNNNNNNNNNNNNNNNNNNNNNNNNNNNNNNNNNNNNNNNNNNNNNNNNNNNNNNNNNNNNNNNNNNNNNNNNNNNNNNNNNNNNNNNNNNNNNNNNNNNNNNNNNNNNNNNNNNNNNNNNNNNNNNNNNNNNNNNNNNNNNNNNNNNNNNNNNNNNNNNNNNNNNNNNNNNNNNNNNNNNNNNNNNNNNNNNNNNNNNNNNNNNNNNNNNNNNNNNNNNNNNNNNNNNNNNNNNNNNNNNNNNNNNNNNNNNNNNNNNNNNNNNNNNNNNNNNNNNNNNNNNNNNNNNNNNNNNNNNNNNNNNNNNNNNNNNNNNNNNNNNNNNNNNNNNNNNNNNNNNNNNNNNNNNNNNNNNNNNNNNNNNNNNNNNNNNNNNNNNNNNNNNNNNNNNNNNNNNNNNNNNNNNNNNNNNNNNNNNNNNNNNNNNNNNNNNNNNNNNNNNNNNNNNNNNNNNNNNNNNNNNNNNNNNNNNNNNNNNNNNNNNNNNNNNNNNNNNNNNNNNNNNNNNNNNNNNNNNNNNNNNNNNNNNNNNNNNNNNNNNNNNNNNNNNNNNNNNNNNNNNNNNNNNNNNNNNNNNNNNNNNNNNNNNNNNNNNNNNNNNNNNNNNNNNNNNNNNNNNNNNNNNNNNNNNNNNNNNNNNNNNNNNNNNNNNNNNNNNNNNNNNNNNNNNNNNNNNNNNNNNNNNNNNNNNNNNNNNNNNNNNNNNNNNNNNNNNNNNNNNNNNNNNNNNNNNNNNNNNNNNNNNNNNNNNNNNNNNNNNNNNNNNNNNNNNNNNNNNNNNNNNNNNNNNNNNNNNNNNNNNNNNNNNNNNNNNNNNNNNNNNNNNNNNNNNNNNNNNNNNNNNNNNNNNNNNNNNNNNNNNNNNNNNNNNNNNNNNNNNNNNNNNNNNNNNNNNNNNNNNNNNNNNNNNNNNNNNNNNNNNNNNNNNNNNNNNNNNNNNNNNNNNNNNNNNNNNNNNNNNNNNNNNNNNNNNNNNNNNNNNNNNNNNNNNNNNNNNNNNNNNNNNNNNNNNNNNNNNNNNNNNNNNNNNNNNNNNNNNNNNNNNNNNNNNNNNNNNNNNNNNNNNNNNNNNNNNNNNNNNNNNNNNNNNNNNNNNNNNNNNNNNNNNNNNNNNNNNNNNNNNNNNNNNNNNNNNNNNNNNNNNNNNNNNNNNNNNNNNNNNNNNNNNNNNNNNNNNNNNNNNNNNNNNNNNNNNNNNNNNNNNNNNNNNNNNNNNNNNNNNNNNNNNNNNNNNNNNNNNNNNNNNNNNNNNNNNNNNNNNNNNNNNNNNNNNNNNNNNNNNNNNNNNNNNNNNNNNNNNNNNNNNNNNNNNNNNNNNNNNNNNNNNNNNNNNNNNNNNNNNNNNNNNNNNNNNNNNNNNNNNNNNNNNNNNNNNNNNNNNNNNNNNNNNNNNNNNNNNNNNNNNNNNNNNNNNNNNNNNNNNNNNNNNNNNNNNNNNNNNNNNNNNNNNNNNNNNNNNNNNNNNNNNNNNNNNNNNNNNNNNNNNNNNNNNNNNNNNUACCCUUUGAAAUGAAGGUACAAUCUCUUCCAAAUAUUUUUAGUUGGACAUAGUCAAAAAUGUGUACUACUACCCACUACCUAUAAAAGCAAAUGGUCAUUUUCUUAACCUCCUUUGUUGGUACUACAUUUUUUUGGCCACAAGCGGAAAAUAUCUCCCACCCUUUUCUCUCUUCACUAUUUUUCUGCACAAAUGCACAUGCCAUAGACUGUGACACCUAGUGUGUGUGUGUGUGCGUUUUUUUCUUGUAAACAUGUGUAACAUAAACCAAAUUUACCUUAACCUUGUGACUUCCUUUACUCACUGUCACCAAGGGCGGCUCAACGUGAUUGGGGGUCUAAAGCGAAAUUUCAAUUCUGGGCCUAAAAUAUAAACAAAUUUCAUGUACGUAUUUAUUCAAAAUUUAUUUUUCUUACAUUAUUUAGAUGAAAAUUAUUAGUAUUUUAAUAUUGUUUUUUCAGUAAUUAGUUUUAGGUAAGAUUUUAUCAACUCAACAUUGAAAAACAUCCUUUCAGUGAGGCAAUUAUUAUAUGAAUUGUUAACAUAAUUAUAUAAGUAAUAAGUUGACAAAUAUUAAAUAAAGAUAAGAGUUAGAACCAUAGAAUUUGAUGCAAGAAGUUGAUGACUUGGUAUACCCAUUUUAAUAUUUGUUGUAGUAAUGCCUGAAACUAGAAUUAAAAAAGAAAUUAAAAAAAAAUUAUAAUUCACUUUGUUCAACACUUUUCACUAUUAAUUCUUAUUUUUAACAAAGUAUAAAAGAUGUUAAAGUGGGUAAAAUAAUAUAUUUUAAAAAAAUUUAUACUUUUUAUCAUAAAUAAUCAAUUAGUUCUAUAGAAAUUUUAACACAUAAUUUAUUCUUGAUAAAAUUUGGAGCCCCCAAAAUUUGGGGGCCUAAGGCAAAAGCCUUAUUUGCCAAAGCAUAGAGCCGGCCCUGACUAUCACAAAACUAGAUAUAAAGGUAACUCUUCAUUGUUUAAGCUCACGAGAUGUAUUGUCCGUUUUGAUUCAACAGGCUAUAAAGACUUGUUCUUUGGAUUAUAUCAUCAUCAAACUCAAAAGCGUGGUUGUAGACAUUGAAAUUUUGUGGGACUCUACAAGACUUGUUCAAUUCGAAUUGGGACUCUAGAAGGUGUGUUCAGUUUCAAUUUGAAUUCUUGGAGGCUACUCAAUCCUAAACUCUAGUUCAUGCAUAUAUAAAGGAUACUAUAUUCCCUUAUAAAGCAUCUCGAAUAUUCCACAAAAGUCAUGGAUAUUCAUACAAAGGUAAAAUCUAAAUCAUCCUAGUUCGAGAAAUAUGCCACUAAUGACCCUCGAAUCAUGGAUAAAUCUUAGGAGAGUAGAAUCGAUGGAGGAACAGAAUUGUACUCGCACUAUUUAUGAUCAAUAAAGUUAUGUUUCUUCAUAUUUUAUUUGUGAUUGCAAUUUCUUGUUUGUCACUUUAAAAUAUGUUGCAAAUCGUAGUGAACAUGCAAUAUACUUGAUCUAUCUAUUCGUAUUUAUAUAGGCACAGUUCAGAUUUCGAGAGUUAGAUGGUUUGUGAUUCAGAUAUGAGAAUUUCAAGUUUCUUGAAAUAAUUUGAAAAUUAUGUGUGUAAAAGUAUUAUAAGUUACAAUAAUUGAUAAUUCAACAUAUAUGAAAAGAUUACGGUUAAAGUUAUUUAUGCAAUUAUAAUCUUAAUUGAACCUUAAUAGUAAAGACUUCUUCCACGCCUCAUAAGUAAUACUAAACUAUUUCAACAUCGUAAAAAGUUAUUUAUGUAUAUAUAACGAAUUUUGAAAAGAAAAGAAAACAACUUUUCUUUUUGCGAUUUGUAAAUUUUUGACAUCGCAUAUUAAAUUUUUUGUGUACGUCACUGAUCUAGACAUGACAACAAACUAACCCUAAAGACUAUAUUGAUUCUAUUAUUGAAGUAGGAUGAUAAGACCUAUAUAUAUAGUCCUAAUGUGACCUUAUUUUAUGAGAAUACAUUAGCCGUUUAUGUUGGUGGAAUGCAUUAUUUUCGGAGAUUCCCACAAUUGCAUUUCUAUGGUGCUAAGGUUUCACAAAAUAUAAUGGUCCUAUGUAUCUAAUGGGACUCAUUUUCCUCUUCUUUUUUCAUCGGGUUUGAGAGGACUAAAUCUGAAACGUUUGAUCAAAAAUAUAAAUCGGGAAUUUUAAUCAUCCUAUCAUAUAACUCAUAUUGAUAGUAAGACUCAAUUAUUAAUAGUUUUUUUAUAUAUAGUUAUUUGAUUUUCAAAAUUUAUUGACCAGUUUGAAUUAGGAAUCGAACCGAUCAAAUUACAUAGAGGGGAAACACUUUGUAUUAAAAAAUUCGCUUUUGAGGCUCAAAAUCUUUUUUUUGCCUUAUAUUGUAAUGCGAUUACUUUAAUUAUAACUAAAAAAAAAUAAGAAAGAUAAUAACUUAAUUCAAGAGUACUGUAUGAUUGCUAACGAUUGUGUUGAGAUGAAUAAAAAAUUUAUAUUCUGAUCGAAAUUUUGGGUUUGAGCACUAAAGAAUAAGAAAGAUUUCUAGUAGGUAACACUUUUUUUCCUUCAAUAAGUCUUACAUGACGUAAUUUAUGAAUAGUUGAGCUCUAAAAUGAGUAUCGGUAACCGAGUGAAAAAUAUACAAAAUGCAUGCAUUGGAUGAUUCAUGUCCCAACAUCAAAGGCGUAUAAUUGUUGGAAAGAAAAGAAAUUCAUGACCAAUUGCUUCUUCCAACUUCUUGGCUCAAGUGCUUAUUAUAAUAUUGGUAAUCUAUGUCUUCCACUUAGUUAAAAGGAGUAAUUAAUUAGUUAAUAACUAAUCACCUACUUUAAUCACUUUUUAAGAGUACUAUGAAUUUCUUGAAUUGUUUAGGUUCAUAAUAUCAUCUCACUAAAAUCUUAUACAUCAUCUUAAAAAUAUCUGUUACAUUUUGCUUCUCGAGACUUAACAUUUAUAUAUGAAGUUUGAUCAACAUUCUAAGAAUUGUAACUUAUAAUUUUUUAUAUUUUUAAUUUUAAAAUAUUAAAUUAAUCUAAUUUGAUUUUACUUCAAAUAUUAAUCGAAUUAACUUUUGAGAAGCAAGACGUGAUAAAUAUUUUGGGACGGAAGAAGUAAUACUAUACCACUAAUAUGUCUGAGCCUUUUGUACAAUCUACAUCAAACACAUAAGUUUUUAUUAAAUGGUCUUUUUUUUUUCAUAUUAAAUUAGCAAGAGAAGAAUUAUAAAAAAAUAAAGUAGGAAAUUAGGAAUUAAGUGAUGAAAUCACCAAUAUUAGAAAAAUGAGAUUAAAUGCAUUUAGUCAGUACCAUAUAGCUAGAGAACAACGUCACGAUCAUAUUAAUUAAACCAUCAUUAGCAUACCACUAGCUUAAUUUAAUUAUCAGUAUAAAAAUAGAAAAAAAAUUAGAGUGGAAGAAUGAAUAUAUCAACUUGUAAUAUAUGAUACUAUGGAGUAAAUUGGACAUAGAUUGAUAACCAAAUUUGGGUUUAAUUAGGUGACUGAAAAAUUACCCAAAAAUGGAUAAAAGAUAUUACAAUAUACUCAUAAUCCCAUAAAAUAUCGAGUAUGGGAGACGGUAGAGUCUACAUAAAUAUUAUAAAUCUUACCGCAAAGAUAAAGAUGUUGUUUCUGAUAGACUAUCGGCUCAAGGAAAAACAGUCUAGAAAAAGAAUAAAUGAAAGUGAAAGCAUAACAAAACAUUCUGAGCAAAAUAAUAUGAUAAUCGAAGUACAAGAAACAACGGUUAGUAGCAGAAAUCGAAUGACAGAAAAUUAUAGGAGAAAUAUUACGAAAUACAAAUACUAAUAUAGACGUAUCACAAGUCACAUUAUAUCUACUAACCUCCUACCCAAGUCCGUGUGCCCUCCACGACUAACUUUUUUUUAUAAAAAAUAAAUAUUGUACGGGUGAUCCACAAAGCUCAUUUAUCACUUUGAUUUAAUUAAUAUUUAAUUGAUUUAAAAAAAAAAAGAGUAAAACUUUCACUUUCAAUUUUCUUGAAAUUUCAAUUAGGUAUAUGUUUUUAUAUUCGACGUAGGGACAUAACCAUUGGGGGAAAGAAGAGAAUAUAUAUCACUCAUUAAAGAUAAUAUUAUAUUUAUUUAGUCAAUUUGGGAUUAGAUUAUUAAUAAAGAUGAAAUUAACACUUAAGUCACUAUCUAUAUUGUAAUCAAUCGGCUUAAUCAUCGACUAAUUAGCUGUUUAAGCCAGCCGCGAGGAAUUUUAAACAUGAUUAUACCUCGCCGAGUUAAUAACGUUUACCACUAAACUCAGGAAUCACAUAAUUCUAUAAGUUGUAUGCAGAUUGAUUAUUUGUAAAUAAAAUGUUAAUUUGGAUUUGACCUAUAUAUAUAUACAUAAAAAUAAUUUUAUUAUAAAUUUCUAUAAGUGAAAAUUUCACGGAGCAAACUAUUUUGAUAUCGUCAUUUAAUUUAUAUUCGUCUUUUGGCAUGUCUAUCCACUUUAUAUAUGUGAUAUCUGAAGUUCAAGCAAAAAUGAUUGGAGUUUUUUGCGUGACUUCAUCGGCCAUUUCAAUCUGAGGUGCAUGUAUGUUGCAUAUAUGAUUGAAAUUCAAGCAAAUAACUUAAAUACUAACAAAAAUAAUUAAACUUCAGUUAUAUAUAUCUGAAUUUCAACUGUAUAAAAUAUUUUCAAUACGGAUUUUAGAAGUUUAAAAAAAGCGAACACAAAUUAAAUAAUGAAAUCAAAGAAAUUUUGAUAUUAGAAGAGAUAUAAUACAAUAUCAUAUAACCAUUUAAAAUAGUUUAAUAUUGUUAAAGAGGAUUAUAAAUACAUAAAGUUCUUUCAUUAUUGGAAAGUGAAAAAUAAGUAAAUUAAUUUUUAUAAAUAUUGGUGUAUGGUCAUUUGAAAGGAAGACAAAUCCCCUAACUCGAUAUUUCUUUGUUGUUAGUAUUUUGUCUAAUUAUUUCCUUAUAAAGUAUGGUAUAUUAUAUUAUUUAUAAUGUCUUGAAGAAUUAAUACAUUAUGAGUUGGAAAAAGUUUGGAAACUUUAUAGUAAUAGUAAUUAUUUAGAUAUUUUUAUAUGAUAAUUAUUUUUUGCAAAAUGAUUCUUUUGUUGAAAUAUUGCAUAAUUUCCACAUGCAUUGAUUGGUUCUUAUGUUGACACAUAAUAUAAAAUUCGAGUGCUUUCUUAUGCAUUAAAAUAUCUAUAUGCAUUUGAAUUAAUUAGUAAAUUAAUUAAUUAAUUUAUAUAUUAAUCUGCAAUUAUUAAGGAAAGAGACAACGAUGAAGAAGAAAAAAAGAAAGAAAGAAAUAGUAUAAUCUAUACUGAUACAAAGGGUUGAAUUUUAGUAGAUCGUUAUAAUUAAAUUAGUUUAUAAUGUAAUUAUAAUAUUUUGUCAUAUAUUUAAGUCGUCAAUAAAAUAGAAUUCAUUUACAAAUCUAAUAAAUGAUUUUGAUUUUGUUUUCUUUUUUGAUCAAUUGACUAAUUGAUCGAUGUAAAUUUUGGACGAAUUAUAAUUUACUAUUGAUUAAACUCCAUAGGUGGAAAUUAAUAAAGUUUUUGCCUUAGAAUUACCCUUUUCAAUUUGUCUAUGCUAACUAAAUUUGCUUUAUGAAGUCAUUAAUUGGCAUAAUUGCUUACACUUUAUUCUUCAUUUUUAUCACUUUCUAUUGUGUUUAAUUCUUUUUCUUUUUUUUACAUAUAUAUGAGUAGAUCCAAUGUAAAGCAAUUUAUCCUAAUAAAGUGAUACAAAAACAAAAAAAAAAUUAAGUGGGUCUAGCUAGGGACCUAGUCUUAGAUCAUCCAAUGUAGUAAUUAAUUAACAACUUGCUAAUAUUUUAUUUUUACUAUUACUAAAACUCCACUCAAAAUUCUUAAUCAAGUUUUUUGCCUUCUUUUUCAUGAUGUUAAGGAAUAUAAUUAAGGAUGACAUAUACUAUCAUUUAGAGAAUGUUGAGCUUUUUGUAAAUGUUAAAGGGAAUAAUAAGAAUUUAUAUAGUCAAUCUUAACCUAUUUGAAAAUGAGACAUAAUAAUUAGGGGCAGAAAGAUGUAGGUUCGAGCAAUUUCAGUAGCCUUUACUUAAACAAGAAAAAAUUAUGUAAUAAAAUCAUUAAAAUAUGUUUUAUACUGAAAUUUAGAAUUCAAUUAUUAAUACUUGAAGUAGUCAUUCUAAAUUCAGAAUCCAUAAAAUUAAAGUCCUAGUUCUAAUACCUCUAAUAGUAAUUUUCUAUAUUCAAUGUCCAGGAUAUAUAUCAGACUAUAAACAGUCGUAAUUUGCAGGGCGUUAGACUCAUUAAGGGAGUAACAAUCCAUGUUAAGAUAUUUUUUUCUCGUACCAAGCCUCAAAGCAAAUAUCGUUUAUUAAUGGUGAAAGGAUCAUAUCCGUCGCACAAUAAGGUGCGUUAAUUAUUUCUGAUUUUUGAUAAUUACUAGUAGUACUAAACAAUUCUAAUACUGGAUAUGAUUUAUUUUGAGACAAAGCAAUAUGAUAAAUUUAUGAUAAAUCUUUUUAGAAAAGAAAAAAAAAACUACAAGUUGAUAAUGGCUCCCCCACUUGCUUUUAAAUUUUAGGCAUAGUUUUUUGUUUUGAUAUUCUCAGACAGCACAAAAUUCAACAUCUUUUAUUAACAACUGAUCCUAGGUUUAUUACUUAGAAUUUAGCAAAGGACAGAGUCCAAUGUGAAGUCCAAAUAUAGAAAUAUAAACUUUAGUACAAUUUGUAAUAGUUAUAAUAAUAAUUGUUUCUGAUGAAUUUUAACUAAUCCAUUUGUUUCUUAUAGAUUCCUUGCCUUGCUUUUUUCUUUUUCUAUGAACCAUGUUGAGAAGAAGAGACAAUUGAAUUACAUCACCCCACAUUGAGUUUUGCACCUUUACAUUUAUUUUUUAAUUUAGUCGAUAACAACGAUAAUAACAUAUUCAAUAUAGCCCUCACAGACAUGAUUGAGCAGUUGGGAGGCAAAUCUUCCAUGGGAUCGAAUUCAGCCUCCGUCUGCCACUCAGUUAUGAGCUCGCGCAUAAGGCUUGCCUAGUGCGGUUUACAUCUUGCGAGCUAUUGCAAAGUGACCAGGUUACAACAAAGUGCUCACCACAGAGUGCUCACCUGAAGGACAGAGACUGUAGCAGAGGUUGUGGGUUUUCCAAGAAUUUCCAAAAACAAAUAAGCAUAUUCAAUAUAACUUGUAAAGGCUUGCCUAAGACAGUUUACAUCUCCUGUGUAUUUUGCAAGCUAUUGGAAAGUGAGCAGACUACCACAAAGGGUUUCACCACAGAGUGCUCAACUGAAGGGAAGAGACUGUAACAAAGGUUGUGGGUUUCCCAAGAAUUUCCAAAAACAAAUAAAUAUAUUCAAUAUAUAUAUGGGGGAUAUCGAGAGGAUGAUGUCUACACAACUUUUCUUUUAUAUUGAAGGUAACGAGAUUGUUUUUCAAUAGACCUUCAGCUCAAGUUAAUCCUAAUAAAAUCAUGAAUAGAAAAUACAGUAGUGAAACCGUCAUAAUAAACGUAAUGGAGAAAAGAACAGUAGUAAGUUCCUUUCAAGUGUGACAUGAGAAGGAAAAAAGGCUAAAGCUGACAACUUUGGCUCCAUGUAGUGAUUGCUAUUUUUGAAAGAAGGGAACCCUUUGAGUUGGGCCAUCCACUUGUAAAGUAAUUGGGCCCAUUAACAAAGGCCACUUUCUUUUGUAGGGCCCAAAUCACACGUCCAAAUGUCUUUUAAGUCCGACAAAAAUGGGGCCCAUGAAACAAACUUCUCACGGAGCCACGUCACCCAAUAAAAAUCUUCUCACUCUAUUCCUUUAGCAAGUGGAGAACACCUCCUAUUUAGGAGUGGAUACACCUUCGAAAGUCGUAGUGGGAUGGAUAGAAUUUCUCCAGUCUUAAACAGAGAUCUCGAAUUUUAUCUCUACAUAUGAAAUUGUCUUUUUGCGGGAAACACUUUACCCUCAAAAUGAAACUUUCCGAAUCGAUAUCUAAAUUAGUCGACCCUAAAAUAAAUUACCUCUCUACCCCUACAAAGAUAGAAAUAAGAUCUGCAUAUACCUCCAUCUUUUCCGAACCCUAUUUUGUAAGAUCACUCCGCAUGUGUGAUUAUAUCAAGGAAUUGAAGAUUAAUACGAUCGAUUUCAAUUUAUGUGACAUCGUUUAAUCGAGUGCGAAAAUUUUAAAAAUAAAAUGGGGCCCCACACACAUCACGUAGGGGAAUAAACAUUUCUCUCUCUUUCUGUCUACUUUUUUGAUGUGAUGAAUAGGUGGGUCCUGCCUAAGUUCUGUAGAGUCGUCAGCCAUUUUUGACUCUCUAGCCAUUGGCUUGGACCCUACAUACAUCUUUGUCUUUUAAUAGGGGCUCAGAUCCCAAUGUAUUAUCAAAUUCAUCUAAUCUAUUUGUGCCCACCUCUGUCCCCACCCCCUACACCCUACCCCCACCCCNNNNNNNNNNNNNNNNNNNNNNNNNNNNNNNNNNNNNNNNNNNNNNNNNNNNNNNNNNNNNNNNNNNNNNNNNNNNNNNNNNNNNNNNNNNNNNNNNNNNNNNNNNNNNNNNNNNNNNNNNNNNNNNNNNNNNNNNNNNNNNNNNNNNNNNNNNNNNNNNNNNNNNNNNNNNNNNNNNNNNNNNNNNNNNNNNNNNNNNNNNNNNNNNNNNNNNNNNNNNNNNNNNNNNNNNNNNNNNNNNNNNNNNNNNNNNNNNNNNNNNNNNNNNNNNNNNNNNNNNNNNNNNNNNNNNNNNNNNNNNNNNNNNNNNNNNNNNNNNNNNNNNNNNNNNNNNNNNNNNNNNNNNNNNNNNNNNNNNNNNNNNNNNNNNNNNNNNNNNNNNNNNNNNNNNNNNNNNNNNNNNNNNNNNNNNNNNNNNNNNNNNNNNNNNNNNNNNNNNNNNNNNNNNNNNNNNNNNNNNNNNNNNNNNNNNNNNNNNNNNNNNNNNNNNNNNNNNNNNNNNNNNNNNNNNNNNNNNNNNNNNNNNNNNNNNNNNNNNNNNNNNNNNNNNNNNNNNNNNNNNNNNNNNNNNNNNNNNNNNNNNNNNNNNNNNNNNNNNNNNNNNNNNNNNNNNNNNNNNNNCUACACCCUACCCCCACCCCCACCUCUCUAUACUGACUCAUCUACAAGCUGGCUGGCUGGCUGGCUUCACAAGCCAUGUUUUAUGAGCUGAUAAUUAGUCUUGCUUAUAUGAUAAGAGUAGUUAAUUUCUUUCUGGUAAUGUUCGGAUCAGUUUACGCGCACGUUAAGUGUUAUUUCAAUCUAAGUAUAUGUUAUUUCUCUGUAGUACCUAAAGAAAAAAUUAUUUGAUUCCUUCUUUUGCUUGUAGUAUCAACUUUUAAAAAUCUUUCACCACACGCGAUAGAAAAGAAACUCGCUAGGUCUUCAUAAUAGAGACAAUUUUGUUCAUGCUUCAAAUGACUUGGCAAUUUUAUAUAUAACUAUUUAUUUUUCAUUUAUGAUUGAUAAAGGCGAAAGGGCAAAAGACUAUUUAACACCUUUUCAAAAGGUAACGAGGUUAGGUUGAGUUUGGAAAGAUUAUUAAAAAUCGUGUGAAGAAUGAACAACGCCGACUUAAAACCCAUGAGAAUAGGUUUACAAAUGUAAUCUGUUACUCAUUUAGGCACCUUGAUUAUUCUAUCAGACACCUAUUACUUCUCAUCAAUACCGGUAUUAGAAACUCUAUCCAUCGAGAUUUAGGUAAUGACCAAGUUACCUACUAGUAUUCUUUUGUCUCGAUUGAAAUUUGAACAUAAGGCUUCAUGAUUAUAUAUACACUUUAUUGAUUAUUAGGUCACACCUCUAGGUGCUGCUAGUACAAGUCAACUUAACCAAAUAUAUGUUACCUUUCGCUUGCAACUCUAACUCAUCAAAUUUAAGCAGAAGAAAAAUAUCACCUUGAGGUAUCUAUCUCUACUGACUACACAGCUUUAAAACCUGCUCUCUAGUCUCCAUUGUUGGGAAGGAAAAGGAACUGCAAAUUUCUGUUAUAUGGACUACAAAGCUUUUCAAAUGAAACGCUCAUAACAACAUCGAUAUCUUUUCUUUUGAGUUGAGGGACUAUCGAAAACAACUUCUUUAUCCCACCAAGGUAGGGGUACGUACAUCCUAUCCUCACCAUACGUACUCCACUUGUGAAACUAUAUUGAUUAUGUUGUUAUAUCAAAUAUGAAAUUAUGAAUUGCCUAUGAGUAAAAAUAGUAACCUAUGGUCUCAGAAAACCAAAUCUUAACACAACAGUUUCCCAAUAUAAAUGUCUAUAAAUUUUUAGUUACAUAUCAUUUUCAGAAACUACAAGGUUCUAGGGGACCAUUUACAAAAGAGGGAGGCAAGUGUAAAUGCUUUCAUGAGUAAACUGACAGUAGCUACCACCUAUUUGACCUAUCCACAAACAAGACAACACUUGUGGCUAAAAGUUGAAAUCUCCUUUCCCAUAUGGCCACUUUUCUUGGACCAUUUGAACUUAUCUAAGCACUCAAAAACUGAACUUGUCUGGUUUCUUCCUAGUAGAUAUUCUUUGGUUGUUGUAGGAAUCACAAACAUUCCAACUUAAUAUCUUCUUUCAUUUUACCCUCUAUCUUUAAUCAGUCUGUUUGAACAGUAAACAACCAGUUCAAAUAUUCACGAACAAGAAUUUACUAGCUUCUAUAUCCCAGAUGAAAAUCUUGCUCCGCCAUUGGUCACUUGCCUUGUUCUAAACAUGUAUAGGCUUUUUGUAAAAGCGACAACUUACCAAUUAUCAGUGCUUACUUGCACGGAACUAAACAAACUAACUUUCUCAAAUGACACGAAUAAUCAAGUACUCCUAUAUGUAGAGGCGGUUCCAGAAUUUUAUGUUAAUGUCAGCACAUCCAUAAAAUGGGUCCAAAACUUAACCUAUUUAUGUAUUUUUAGGUAUUUUCAACGAUAUAUACAGACCAAAGGAAACAAAUGUGAACUUUGUCCCUCCAGUGCCUCAUGAUCACUAAGCACAGUUAAGACUACUUACGAUCACUCGCCUGUAUCUAAACGUACCAGUUCUCGUAUAGGAUACCAGUGAUCACAACCCCCAUAUGUAGCUAUAUGAUAUAUUACUACUUGUUUUAUGGAUUUUCAUGAACAUCAAGGGACUUGAUGCAACAUAGUAAAACAUUAGGUUGUUGAUGCAAGUAUAUUCAAGUAUAGAAGACUUUACCAAAAGACAUCAGUCUUUGUUAUAAUUUGGCUAAAAGUUGACAAAACAAAAACAAACAAUUAAUGUGUCAACUUUCAUGGACCCAACUAGUUUUAAUAAAACUUACUCUAAAGGGACUACAAAAGACUUUGCUCAUUCUUUCUCCAGACACAAGGUAUCUGUAAAAGAACUCACUCAUGACCGUUAGAUCAGAUCGAUGUAGACUUGAUGUCUAUACACGAAAAAUAAAAAUGAAGAGCCAAUUCCUGUAUAUUCAAUUCAAUGACAACUUGCAGCAUAUUGAUUAACCCUCUCUCCCUCUCUCCUAGGCUGGGCAUAAAUAUAAUGGUCCUACUCCUAUCAACAAUGAAUAGGGAUUUUAAAAGGUACUUUACAUAUACCGGGUAGUUGAGGGUCUAUCGGAAACAGCCUCUCUACUUCACCUCUGAGGUAGAGGUAAAGUUUGCAUACACUGUAUCCACCCCAGACCCCACUCUGUGGGAAUACACUGGGUAUGUCGUUGUUGUUUACAUAUACCGGUUGUUUUCCGGGGUUGGAUAUAAUAGUCCUUAUUAUAGACUAUGACAAAGAAAAAAGGGACCAGCACAUAUUCAUAUUAUCUAAAGCUAAGGUUAAGGCUAACAUCAUAGGUGUGGGGAUGGUUACCUGCUCCUUGAGGCUAAUGAGAAGUUUUUUUCCAUAAAACAGAUGGCACUGUGACUUGUCAAUUGGGAUUGAAGACGAAAGCUCCAUUGCUAGAGACCUGAUAUGCGAGACCUGGUGAUCGGUGGGGCAGCAGAACAGGGAUUGAUGCAUUUUCUUGAUAGGACUUCCCAGCUACCUCAUUUAUGACAAUGUUUCAUGUGUAUAAGAUCUUGUGAAGAGGAUUAAUCCAUGCAAGAUACUUGUAGCUCAGACGUUAAGUGACACUGACUAUCUGCAUCAACUUCUCGGAAAAAUUAAAAUCAGACUUCUAACUACCAAAAACACGAGUGUAAAAUGAAAAGAAAAAUCUCAGUCACCACGUAACUGCCACAUGCAUGUACUUUGUUAGAUUUGCAGCUGAAAAUGGUGUUAGGACAUGCAUUCAACACCCUUUUUUUAUUUUUCGAUCAAAAUUUCUCAGUUUCUCUCAACAAUAUUAACUACAAUUAGUCUUUUACCCAAUUCUUCGAUAACAAUUUCCCACGGUAAAGUCUUGGAUUUGAACUUGGAACCUCAAGGUGAAUUUUGAACUCUUAAACCACUAAGCCAACCACUAAUCUUGUGUUCAUGGGAUACAAAAAUCUGAAUAUAUACACUAAAAGUAAAAAAAAAUUAAAAAAAUUGUAUAGACAAUGUAAAUUUUUGCCAAGGGGGUUUGGGUGAACACCCUCGCCCCCUCCUAGAUCCGCCCCUAACUGUAAACAAAUUACAACUCCAAUGACGAAAUUAGGAGAAAGCAGAACAAAUAAUCAGUUUAUAAGAUUACCAAAGGGAUUGUCUUUAUCAAGGAGUGGUAAUGGUGAAUGCUCCCUAACCUUUUUCACCCCCAAAGGUAAAGGAAAGCAAGUUCAUCAUAAGCACAGAACAAACAAAAGAGAAGGGCACAGAGGACCACAUAACUUUGUUCUUUUCCAAAGAAAGCACACUGAUCCUCUUGAGUAACUUUUUUUAUUUUUUCUUUUCGGUUACGUGCAAGAUUGCUUUUUUGUCUGUGUCCCACCAUUCCUCAAGAUGGCUAUAGGAGAUGACUAUAUUCAACUGGUGAACCGCUCCUAGUAUAACAUUCAGACACAAAACAAUAACGGGACCAAUAUCAACUUAAUCAAACAGUUCAUGCUUAAAUGCAACUCUAAAAGCUUCAUCCACACAAUAGCCUUAAACUUUGAUGUAGAUUGAUGCAUGAGCACCUCCAAUCUCUCAUCAUUUCUAUCUAUAAAGAAGAAAUUUGAGAUUCAGACACUUGACACUUAGCACCUUCAUACUCUUAUUAAUCAUGAUUGUUAUUUUCCUGAUAUUUGGUCAAAUAUAUAUUCUGCAAAUAAAGCCAAACACACAUUUUAAACUGUUAGUCCAACCUUUGCAUCAGUGCUUCCCAUUACUGAGAAUUCUAGUGAACAACAGCUUCAGGUACAAUGUUCACCCUAAAAUCACACUGGACUACAUAUCAAUUUAAUCAAACAAUUUCAGUAGAAAAAUGUAAUUGCACAGACAUAAUAGAAAUGGAAUUCGAUAUUCUUAGAUGUGUUAACGACUGACAUAUAUACUUGUGUAUAAAGCAGAACUUGAGAAUACACCUUCACCACCUAACACCUUUAUACCACACUAACAUCGAUUGAUAUGUAAUAGUAUUUCUUGUUUUAAUCGAAAGUAAAAUGCUCUUGAAGUCGGAGCCAUUUUUAACAACGAUCAAGCUGAAUCUCUUGAAAAAGCUCAAAGAAUGAAUUCACCAACUAUUAGCCAAGGAAAAAUGCUGAAAUUUUCUUUUGAAAAAUCACAACUUUAGUGUCACCAUUACUAAUUCCCAUCUUUCAACAACCACUUAGGAUAAAUUUGUAAUAUAAAAUGUACUAAGAGAAAGAAAAAGUAUUUUUUAACUCAUGGAAGUGUAAGGCUAAGAAAGUCUUUAAUAUGAUGGCCCAAAUUAUAACCAGAAAACAAGCUUGAAUAACCACUUAAUGAGUUAAUGUGCCAAUGUUCCUCACAUCACAAUCAUCCCAUGGACCUCCUCACAUCUUUACCCCAACAGACCAAGAAGGAGCCAAAGGAUAAUGAAAAAGUUAUCUAGAACACAAACAAAAUUAGCACCCACCUUGCAGCCCCUCCCUGAGGACUACAUUACUAAGUGCAAUUAAAAAGAGCAAAUAACUAGAAAAUUCAAAAAAGAAUUGCAUGACCCUCUAGCAUUCAAUCAUGGGACUACAUGAAAGUCCAACAAGUUAUACAUUUCAGUAGCAGGAAGCUGUAGGAUAGGAUUACAGACUACCUUUUUUCUGACGUAUACCGGCUACCUAAACGCCACCUUUAUCGACUUGUAAAUGCUACCUAUAUUGACUUUUAAAGGGUUAAGACAGAAUGAUUGGUACCAAAAGCUAAUUUGAAAACAAGAAUAGACUCUUUCUAAGUCAAUUGUACAUGCUCAAUCAGCUUAAGCUACUUUAACCAAAGAUGCAGCAUACCCAAAAUAUCCACAAUGAAGCUUAAAAACAGGAGUUGGGAUGGAAGGAGUCAUUGAUCAAAGAAUCAGGAAUAAAUCUCUUAAACUGGUGUAAUCUUUUUAAGCCCUAAAACAAGCUUUGGCGUUUCAUUGAUCACUACGGAAAAGGCAAAAAAGAGUUACAUGCCAGAGACUCAAUUUCAAUAAAAUGAACUUAGUGCAAUCAACAAGUUUUUCUCAUUAUUUAUUGACUCUUUACUUUUGGCUUUCCUUUUUCAAGAAAAUCAUGGAAUUUGCCAGUAUUUCUAAAGAUCAUUUUUUCUUCUAUAUUCAGAAAGCUAAUUAAAACCUGUGUCUCCAUUUUAAAUCUACACCAUAGUUUCGUCCAGCACUUUUAGUGUAUAGCCUUGAGGCUUGUCACUAUUGACUCCAGCUUCUUCAAUGAACAAGUAAGAUGAACUAUCUUCAAAUACUUCUUCUAUUAAGGUAUAAGAACAGGAGAAGCAAUAAACUGCAGAAAAAACUACUAGCACAACAUUUUGUACGAAGUUCACAAGUGGAAAUAAAUACCUUUAAGGCCAUACACCAGUAUUUUAAUGACAGCAUCAUCGGACUACCCUCUAUGAAUCCUAUUCAUGCAUAAGAACAAUGGUUAGUCAACAACAUGCAGUUAAAACUAGAACUUGUUACUAGCUCAAGAUAAAUAUCAUAUGCGGGAAGAAAUGUAGACUGUUUAUUUUAUCCUACAACAUGUGGGAAGAACUUCUGAUGGCCCCAAUAUUCAUGAACCAAGAGACCUUAAGCGUGUAACUUCCAACUUCAUAAUCAUGAGACAGCAAUUUCACAAUAUGCACUGAUAAGUUUCAUCCUCUUGACAAUUUCACAAUCAUGAAACAGCAAAUUCCAACAUCCAAGCAUAGAACAUUUAGUUCCACAAAUCCUUAACAGAAGCAUCACAUUAUGUCCUUGUCAAUGCCUGGACCAGAUUAAAGAAUUCUUUUAAGAACCAGACCACAUAUAGGGAUGAUAAACUUCCAUAACCGACGGAAGGCAUAUGCAAAACCAAAUUUAACAUGCCUAAUAGCCAAACAAUGCAUAAAUAUUACAAGACCUACUUUUCACCAGAUUAUCCAAAAAAAAAAGAAAGUAUAAUGGUAAAGAUUAUCCAAGAAGUCAACUUCCCCGGAAAAGAUUGUUAUCACAUCAAUUGAUAGAUAGACUUAAGCAUUCGCUUGAUGCUGUGUAGACGGGCCGAGGAAAACACAUUUAAUCUCCUUUUUGUUCUAGGCUAUGCUUAAGACUGAUGGUAAAACUUGCAAUUCCCAAGAAAUCAAGUCACUUUUAAAAGCUUCACUUUGGAAAUCAAUAGAUAGAGUGUCUGCUUGUUAGGCCUUAGUCAAUAAUGAAUUAGGCGGUCUAUGGAGACGGACUUGAGCUCCAUGCAAUGCGAAGAACUACAUGCUUGGAAUGUUAUAGAGCCACAAGGUCAGCUUUGUUGCAUACACUGUACAGAAAUGUCAACCUGCUAAUGAUUGUAAAGCUCAAGAGAAUGGAAAAAACUUAGACAAAUAAAAACACAUUUGACUUGGUCAGGCACUCCAACAGUUGAGUGUCUGCCUUUGUUUUGGUAUAACUGACUGAUUGAGUUUCCAGUAGUCUCACUAUUGCCCAGUUUCAUCUAACAAUCACUUCUCGCACAUGGCAAUACUGAUUGUCCAACCUGUACCAAAUAGUAUCUCAAAUACAACUUUAUUUUCAAUAAGGUAAACAAAUUUAUUAAUGUGUGAGGAGAAACCCCGUAUAGAAGUUGUAUAGUAAAAUGUAGAGAACCUACACAAAAAUAUGAUUCUCUACAAAGGAUAUCAAUCAUCUAUACACACAGGGGACGUUGUGGCUGCACCAAAAGAAAACUAGAAACAGAUAUCUAUUUCAACCCCCUUUAAAUGCUCUCGUAUUAUUCUCCCUCCAUGUUACCCACAAUAAAGCUAGCAGAUCAACAUCCAUGCCCUAUUUCUUCUCUUCCUCAUUCUGAAGGACUAGUAAUGCAGCACUUCUUCCAUUGUGCACAGCAUUACACAUUGUACACCCAAACAAAAUCAGGAACAUCCACAACAAACAUGCUGCAUUAGCUCAUCCAUUGUCAAUAUCUCGUCCCUAGCUGCCAACCAUGCAAAGAAACAUACCUUCUUGGUGCCUUGAGGAUCCUGAUCGAUAAAUGCGUGAAAGUGGAAUCCUCUCUCACUGGCAGACUCUGCUAGUAUGAUUUGACUAUGAAUAAAUUAUUUCUCUUCACCCCUGACACGAGUGUGGAUAGUGGGAGAGUUGAAUUUGAAAGAUAGGAACAAUAAAAGGAUUGAAUCCUUGAAGGAGAUAGAAACAAACUCAAGUAUAUGAACUUGAAUCCUUGUACAAGGGUGAAGAAAGCCAAACCAUGCAGCUGAGGAGGUAUAUAUUCCAUUUGUGUAACUUCAACUAGUCACGUGUCAAUUUUCUAUCUUCCUGUUCAGGCAUGGUUAAGUCACUUCAGAUUGGCAACAAUGCCUUUCUUUACUACCAGGCUCUGGAGAUCUUAAACUGUAUAUUAAAAAAAAAAAGUUAUCAGAUUAACUGAGUGAAAACUCUUUCUCGUAAAAAAAAUUUAAAAAAAGAGUGAAAACUUGCUACUAUUACCUUUAGUUAUGUCUGUUGUCCAGCCAAAAAAGCUUUCAAACUACCAUCACUGCCAACCCAACUGAAGCCUGUGCCCUUUGAUAUUCCUCUAAUCUUCAUAAUCUCCCUAAGUUCACUCACACCAUCCCAUCUACCAGCAUCUGCAAGAGCAUUAGAUAGUGCAACAUAUGCCCCUGGACGACUACCACUACUUAGCUUGAAAAGCUCAUUGGCAGCUAAAUUAGCCAAUUCCACAUCUCCAUGCACUCUACAAGAACUGAGUAAAGCUGCCCAAACAUCAGAAUCUGGACUUUCAGUCAUAUUAAUUACAAACUCUAAUGCCUGAUUUAAGCUCCCUGAGCGUCCAAAGAGAUCAACCAUGCAAGCAUAAUGCUCCAUCCUUGGCUUCAUAUAGUAAUCUCUCUCCAUACUUUCAAAAAUCUCUCUUCCUUUAACAACUAGUCCAGAAUGCGCACAAGCUGAGAGAGCACUUAGAAAUGUAACAUAAUUUGGAACAAUGUGAUGAUCUUCUUGCAUUAUACUAAAUAGUUCAAGUGCCUCAUCGGGAUACCCGUUUUUCCCGUAUCCAUCAAUCAUGGAAGUCCAAGAGAAGACAUUCUUCUCAUGCAUGUGGUCAAAGACUCUUCUUGCAUCCUCAACCAAUCCACACUUAGAAUACAUGUCAAUUAAAGCACUUGCAAUUUUAACGUGCUCAAUUAACUCAGUCUUCAUCAGCUGUCCUUGAACCUGUUGACCAAUUUCAGAUGCUGCUAGAGCAGAACAAGCCCCAAUAAUACUUGCAAAAGUAGAAAUAUUAGGCCUAAAACCGAAACGUUGCAUGUCAAUAUAAACCUCAAUCGCCUUCUUAGCAUUUUCAAUCUGUUUACUAUAACCUUCAAUCAUCGCAUUGAACGCCACAACAUCUUUCUCCAUUGUUUUACUAAACACAUCUUCAGCAUCCUCAAUAUAACCCUGAUUCAUAUACCCUGUUAUCAACGACGUCGAGCAAACAACACUCCUUUCCAACAUCAAAUCAAACACUCUCCUCGCAUAAUCCACCCUCCCACUCUUCACAUACGAAUCAACCAACCCAGUAUAAAGCACAUCAUCACCCUCAACAUCACAUUUAAUCACCUGGGCAUGAACCUGCUUUCCAAUACCCAGAGAAUACGACUCUACAUAGCUAAUAGUAGACCCCUUCAAAAUCAUUGAUAGUGUAAACUUAUCUGGAGUUUCACCACAAAGACACAACUUUCUAACCAUAUUAAAACAUUCUAAAACAAACCCAUGUUUCACAUACCCAGAAAUCAUGUAAUUAUAAGCAGAGAGAGUCGGUUGACGCAUUUCAUCAAACAGUUGGCGGGCAUAAAAAAGACAAGAACUUUUCAAGUAAAGUAUUAACAAUUUGAUACUUAUAUUGGUAUUGGGUUGAUACCCAGUUUUGAAAAUGUAUGAAUGAAUCUUUUGUCCAAAAAUAGGAGUGUCUGAAUUGAUAUAUUGUUGUAAAGAUGAUGACAGUGAAGAAAAUUUUGGCGGCCAUAAAAGGGAAUUUGCUUCUGUUUCUUUUAACGAGAUCAAUGAUUUGAAUUUGGGUAUUUGGGCAUUCUUCAUUUUUCGAUUUUGGCUUGAAAGCUUAAAACUCUGUGUUGCUACAUGGACAUGGCAGCUUGGGUUUGAAGGCAACGGAUGAAGGAGAAAGAGGCGCUAAACUUUUGUAUUUGUUUUGUAACCAACUUUGAGUAUGUACACGUAAACAUAUUAACUUGUUAUUAUUUAAAUAUUGUUUUUUUUUCGUUUUUUCACUCGGUGUUUGGAGCUCAUAUUGAAGCUCCAACUAAAUUCAGAUCGCGCACUGUAGGGCCCAUUCGGGGGUGGCACUUUCAACAUGAUUUUCUCCAUACCCAGGGCUCUAACCUAAGACAUCUGGUUAAGGGUGAAACACUUCUAUCAGUGCACCACAACUCAUGUUGGUAUUUAAACAUCGUUAUAAUUGGGUGUCCACAAGAUAUAGAGAGGACGGAUCACGGGUUGGACUAUUUAAUUGUUAGGUGAAACUGAAUUGAGGCGUCUGAACGUGUAUUCUCAAAGUUAAAAUAUUUAUUUACCAGUUGAGAUCAAAUUUGAAUGUUUGUUUACGUGUUAUGCAUUUAUAUUUCUAUGAAGUGGCCUAUCAUCGGUCGGCCAUUGGUAUACUAGGAAAUUACACGUGAUGUUUUUGAAAAAUGAAUGAUUUUGAAUUUUUGAUAUCGAUUAUCCAAUGAGCAAACGUUCAAAACUAUAAGUUAGAAUAUUGCGCGUAAAAUAAAACUUGUUAAAUUUGAAAUUUUGCGGAAAAGCCAUCUAUUAUGUCAUUUGUAGUUUAAGUUGGAACCGAAAUGGCAAUUGGACUGCUUUGCAAAAUUGGACCAUAGGCUAUCCAACUUGGACAAAAUUAAUAAUAAGCCCACAAACUAUAUACUUAUAUUUGGCCCAUGUAUAUUCAUCAUAUGAUUUUUGGUUAAAACACAUAUAAUCUUUAAAAAAAAAUUGUAUAUCGUCUAGAUAAAUAUUAUGGUAGGUGGAGGUGUGGACGGUGGGGUGGUUGGGAUAGAGGUGAAGAUGAGGUCUGUUUGGGGUGGGGUAGGAGGACACAAUCAACGUGAAAUAUCACUCAUGUAACACUUAUAUGAGAUAAUAUCUUUGCCAUUUAGAAAUUAAAUAGAAGAAAAUGGUAUUUUUGUUUUUAGAUCUACAUAUUAUAUGUAAAAAUAAAAUCUCUUAAAAUAUCCAUUAAUAAACAACAAAAUCAAUUUUUCCGAAUAUAUUUUUCAAAAAAAAUUGACAAACCAAAUAUAAAAAUAUUUUCUUCCUACCACACCGUUUAUUUGAAAGCAUAAAAAAAGACACUUUCUUUUGAGUGUGUAGAGAGAUUAAUUUAAUUUUACCAUCGCAAUAUUAUCCUAUUUUUUCCUUUUCUUUUUAAGAUCUCUAUUUUAUGAACGUAAAAUUAGUUAUUUGCUUAUUAAAUUAUUAUAAUAUAUCCAACACAAAAGCUGCAUAUAUUGGGGCAAAACUCAAGUUAUAAUUUUUGAUAAAGACAAAAUUUAUAUUGGUAUCAUUUAAAUUAUACAAUAAGAAAUGUUAUCCACAAUAUAUAUACGUAUAUUUUCUAAGAUAUGAUACAUAGAAUCACAACAAAUUAAUUUCUUCAUAUUUCCUUGUUAUAUUCAACGCAUGAGACAUGUUCCCCUCAAUUACAAUUAGUUAUUAGAACAUGCCUUCAACAAUACAUUUGACUAUUUAAGAAGAUUUAAUCUAGUGUCGUGGUCAUGUUAUAUACUUUACGUCAAAAUUUUAUUUUUGUCACUUUUCAUCAAUAACAAGUAUCAGGUAACUUUAUAUUAAGACUAAGAUCGAAUUUUGUGCACUUUAAUUAAUUCCUCGAGAUUGUUCUAUAACAAUAUUUCAUUAUAAAAACGAUGGAAACUUUCUUUAAAUUUAAGUUAUACUAUUAACUUUUUUUAAACUUUCUUUAUAUAUAUAACUUACAAGUAUACUUAACAUUUUUUUAUUUUUCCAGUUACUUACAUGCACAUAUUUUUGCAAAAGUCAUUUAUGUAAAUGGAAUAAAACUUCCAUAAUGAACACGUGUUAUCUUUUUUUUUUAAAAUGGUCCUCUAAUUAAACCAUUUAAUCAAGAUUAUUCCAUUUUCGCCGUUGAUGGUGGAAAAUUGUUAUAUAUAUACUUACUAUAAAAUAUCAAUAUUCUCCACUCACAUAUCAUCAUAUAUAGAUAAUUAUUUUUAUUUGAGAUGAAAGUCUAUCGAAACAAUAUUUUUAUUUGAUUAAGAUAAACAUAAAAUAUGCGUACACGUUAUCUUUUUCGGAUUCACUCGUAAAAUUAUAUUGAUUAUACUAUUAAUUAUUAUUAUUGUUAUUGUAUUUAAGGAAUUAAAGGGUAUAUGCAUCGUAUUAUUGUGAACCUAAUUAGUAAUUAAUUUAAUAAUUGAUGGAUCUAAUCAAUUAAUAUUACAUGCAUGAAUGUACAAUAAAAUACAACACAUUCAUGCAUUUUGUAAUUACACCAUGUUCUCCUUUGACCAUAAUAAAUAUUUGAUACAUUUAUAGAAAAAUAUAAACAAAAAAAAGAAAGAAGACAUACCUAAAAUUACGUAAGAAUAAGAGUGAUAAAUUCAUUUCUAGAAAUGAUACUAAUUUCUUUUUUAGUUCUUGGGAAGUAUGUGGUCUAUAUAUUGUCUACCACACAAGAAACAAAGAAAGAGCAAAUGCGCAUGGGAACUAUAUAUUAAUAUUUCCUUAAACAAAAUGCUAAUCGAAAUAUAAUUAAGAUCAAGCACGUCGUGUCAAAAGUUAUGAUUGGUAAUAUUAGUGUAAUAUAUAAAAUGCUAAUAGAAAUAUAAUUAAGAUAAAGCACAUCGUGACAAAAGUUAUAACUGAUAAUAUCAAUGUAAUUUUAUUUCUUAAAUAACAAAUCUAUCAAAAGACGUUAUAUUCAAUCAUGACUCGAAUACAAAGCCAGUAGCACGAUAGGACAACUUCUCAGUCCAUUCCAUCCUUUCGAUCAAGCCAGACGCGAAUGAAAUAGCUACUCCCAUUCCGACAAGAUCAGGAAUUCUUUUAUCUAGCCAAGUCAUUCCCAACUCAUCACUUGUGCCUUGAUAUAGAUAGAAUCUUGGUGUUGCCCAAUAAUCCCCUUCCCGCAUGACACCUGUCACAUGAAUUUUGAUAAUCAAUUUUAUGAUCGAUCUUAGCUUUAUAUACCAUUUAUUAUGGUCAAACGCUUAUCCUCGGCAUAACAAGGGUCAAAAGUUUAUUUUUUAAUCAAAUUAUGUCGAGCAAAUACUAUAUUCAAUCAUGACUCGAAUACAAAGCCAGUAGCACGAUAGGACAACUUCUCAGUCCAUUCCAUCCUUUCGAUCAAGCCAGACGCGAAUGAAAUAGCUACUCCCAUUCCGACAAGAUCAGGAAUUCUUUUAUCUAGCCAAGUCAUUCCCAACUCAUCACUUGUGCCUUGAUAUAGAUAGAAUCUUGGUGUUGCCCAAUAAUCCCCUUCCCGCAUGACACCUGUCACAUGAAUUUUGAUAAUCAAUUUUAUGAUCGAUCUUAGCUUUAUAUACCAUUUAUUAUGGUCAAACGCUUAUCCUCGGCAUAACAAGGGUCAAAAGUUUAUUUUUUAAUCAAAUUAUGUCGAGCAAAUACUAUAUUCAAUCAUGACUACGACUUGAGCUAGAGGCGAAUUCAAAAUUUUAAAUAUGAAUUCCUAUCAUAAUUAAUCGUACUAUCGUAGUACUUGUUCAUCCUAUUAAGAAAAAAAUAAUAAUUUAAAAAAUAAAACAGAUACAAAUUACAGUAUAUUAAUUGUAUCGAAAGCUUAUAAUUACAAUAUUUUUAUAUAAACUCAUAACAUAGCAAAGGAAUCAUUUGAGAUUUUAUAAAUCUUUGGUCGUUUGUUCAUCAGACAAUUUCACGUGCAUCAUUAUAUUAUAAAGAAUAUAGAAAAAAGAAAAAUUAUAAGUAAACUAUGUAAUGAGUAGGAUGUCUCGUACUCAAUUGACAACAUGCAACAGCCUCCACGUAAGGCUAUUUUUCAAUCGCUCCGAUCAGUGACGGAAUCAGAAAUUUUAUAAUGUAAAGUGUUAUAAUAUAUAUAAAAAAGUAGACGUUAUAAAAAAAAAAAAGAUAAUUUUUCGAUAAAAGGAUGUCAUUUGGCACCUCUUGACAUAAGGCUCCGACACUAUUGGUUGAGUCUAUGUUGUCUCAAUGUGUAUAUUUUCCCACUACAAAAAAAGAGUUAUGAAAUUUAUCGAUAGUACGUAACUAAUAUAUGAUUUUAAAAGAGUUUAUUGUUAAUUUAUCGUUAAAUAGGUUUAUAAAUUAAAGGUGAAUUCCUGUACACAAUGCAAAUUGAACAAGCUAAGUCAUUAAGAACGUUAAUUUGAUUAUAAAUUUAUUUAAUUUUAAUUGAAUUACUCUUUAUUUAUUUACUCAAACUAUUUUCUCUCUCUUUUAAUUUUUUUUAAAAUCAUUUAUUGGAGAAUAAGUAGAGUUGAAAAAAGAAUAAGCAGUAACAACAUACUUAGUAAAAUCUCAUAACUGGAAUCUAAUUAAGGUUAGUGGUGUGUACAAAGUUUCAUACACUUAGAUAUAGAUGUUGUCUCCAAUAGACCCUCGGCUCAAGUAAAAUAUUAUUUUCAUAACGUAACAGGUAUCAAGAGAGAAUAUAGUAUAUUCAGUAAAAUUCCACAAGUGGAAUCUAGAAAGGAGGGUGUAUACACAAUCUUACCUAUCUUACGAAGGUAAUUAAAGACAUUGUUCUCGAUCAACCAUGCUCAAGUAAAUAUAUAUACCAAAUGUAUGAAAAGGAAAUAUAAUAGAAUUAAGAAUAAUAUAGAAAAGAACAGUAACAAUAAUAAAUAAUAUGAUAAUCGAAGAAAAUGAAAAAAUUAAUAAAUAGUGUCUUUAAUUUUCUAAAAUUUCCUAAGCAACACUUUUUAUGGAUAUUCAACAAAUUAAUUUGACUAAAAUGACGUUUAUAUUGAAUCGGAAGAAUUGACUAAUUAUUUGUAAAAGUUUCAUUACAGCAAUGAACUUGUCUUCUUAUUAUAUCAUCAAUAACAAUAAUUUUUAUUAUGAAAAAGGGUUAUAAUCCCCUUGAUUAUAUAUCGAAAAUAAAUUAUAUUUAUCUUUCGUUAUACCUUUUAAACAAAUAUACCUCUACAAUCAUAUUUUAGACUUGUAUUUGUCCAUCAUCCACUAAAACUAACUGUAUUUAUCCCUCCCCGAUUAAAACUAGUUUAUUUCACCUACCCCUCGUUAAAACUUUAAUUUCAGCUUUAAAAUGUCACGUUUCAUGUUUUCAUCGAACGAAAAAAACCAUUCCCAUUUUUACUGAAAUUUUAACAACUUUAUAAGAUUUCAAAUCACAUAAUUCUAAGAAAAAAUAAAAUAUUUAUGAAAUAAUUUAAAAAAUUAUUUAUAUUGACGAUAUAUAAAGUCGAGCCGAACCCCUCGUGUGCAUGCGACAUCAGGAUUGAUAUUUUCUUAACGUGAAAUUUUUGACUUAAUAAUCUGUGCCGCAAAAGUAACGUUAAAGACUAUACUUUGACCAAAUAUUAAAAAAAAUGGCCUACUUAAUUAAUUACAUGUAACCCUCUUUUAUUUUUCAACUUUUAAUUAUUAUUAUUUUCCGUGUGUAUUACAUCACACGCACGAGCAAUAUGGCAAUCUUUUUUGACCUAAAGAAAAAUAAAUAAUAAUAAGAAAAAGUCAUGAUCUAGGUAGGUGUUUAAUUACAUAUAAUUUGACUACUUAGAGAAAAAUUAUACGUCAUUACAAAAUAUUAUAAUUCAUCUCAGUAAUUUGUCGACAAAAUAAUUAGAUAUAAUAAUUUCAAAAAGAUAACCUAUCAGCAUCUUUUUUUCUUUUUCAAUAAUUGUGUGUGAGAAAAAACACUUAAAAAGUUAAAAUCACACGUAUUUCAUAUGGGAAUAAUUAGUAAUCAGUAUUAUAUUAUUAAAUUGCUACCUAAUUUUGGUUUAACACUACAUGAGGUCCUGGAUAAUAUACUAAAGCCACUUGUCUUAAAAGAUAAAUUAAAGUUGAGUAAAUAAAAAAAAAAAAAAAUUCACAUGAUAUCGUAAUAAAUAAAAGUCUUGAAUUAAAGUUCAUACCAAUACCACUUAGUUAUUUACCCGAUCCAUAAAAAGAGAAGCUAGCAAACUCACAUAUAAGUGGUGUGUUAGAGAUAUAAUUAAAUAAAUAACAAUAUAUAAACAAACUUUUAGUUAAAUUUCUUAUACAAUUGAUCAACAACUUAAAAUCAAUUUGAAUAUGUAAAUUACUUAGUUACCAUAGGUUAAAUACAAAUUCCACGUGUGAUUAGUAAUUAGUACUCCCUGAUAGUAUGUCUAGAAAAAGGAAAAAUAUAUACUGCGUAAAAAGUGAGUAAUUACGAUUUAUUAUGUGUUUAAAACAUCAUUAAACUUUCAUAAACCAUUAAAUUAAUUAACAUAAAUAUUUACUCCCUCCAUUUCAUAUUACUUGAUAUUAACCUGGCAUACUUUUUUAAAAAGGUUUUAAUUAACGAUUAUUUUACCAAACUAACCUUACUAUUGAUGUGUUAAAACUCUAAACUAUUUGACUACUACUCCUUCCGUCAAUUAAUAGUUGUCCACAAUACUAUUUUGGGACAUCAAAUAAAAUAAUACUUGUCCAUUUUAUGAAAUCAAUGAAUAAUUUUAUACUUAGUUCCUAAUUUACCCUUAUCAUUAUUUAUAGUUAUUCUCUAUUAUAUUCAAAGGGUGAUAUAGUAAAAUUACUCUUCUAUUUAUAGUUAUUAAGAGCUGUGUAAAGUCAAUAGUGAACAAGUGUUGUUGGACAUAGGAAUAUUAUUAAAUGUAGUUAUUUUACCAAACUAACCUUACCAAACUUUUUAUUCGUUAAAAUUGAUAAAUAAAAUAAAAUAUUUAUAUUAUUAAAUAAGUCAAGUAAAAUGAAACGAACUAAGUAUAUGACACACAACAUACACGUAUAUAAUGGGAAAAAAAUAAAGUCGGUUCGUGUCCCACACGGUCGCUAUACGUUUCUUAAUUAAUUCCCCAAAAACUAUACACAAUUUCCAAUUUCACACGAGGCCAAAAUUCACCCAUGCAUCCUCCACACACUUUCCUUCUAUAAACACCCACCCACCCCUCAAAACCACCCUACCUAACACCCCCUACCCCCACACCACACCACACAUCUUCUCACUAUAUAUAUAAACCCUUUUCUUCAUAUUUUUCUUACAUAAGUUCAAAACUCAUCUACGUGACCAAAAACAAAGGUACAAAUUUACAUAGAGAAAUUAAAGUUUAUUUCAAGAUUUUCUCUUCUCGAUCAUCGUCAUAUCAUCAUAUCAUCAUAUAUGGCAUUUUCGGAGCCAAUAGUUAUCUGCAAGAAGCAUCCACAACACAAACAACAACCAGGAGUAUGUUCAUGUUGUUUAAGAGAAAAACUAUCAAAGAUCAAUGGUACAACUACAAUUGCUAAAAUUUCAUCAAUUCCUUCUUCUAUAUCCUCCUCCGCUUCCUCAUCCAAUUGCGCCUCUCCGCGAGCCGCAAUUGGACAUCGUCGGAUCACGUCCGACGUUGCUGGCGGCCAUUAUUCGUUCGUAACGCUAGCGGCCGCCAACGGCGGAGGAGGAGGGGGGUUGAAGAAGAGUAGGUCAAUAGCUUUUGUUGCAAGAGGGGGUAGAGUUGGAAUUAAUGGAAAGAAGAAGAAAGAAGGGUUUUGGUCAAAAUUGAUCCGGUCAACGGGGAAACGAACCAAUAGGGUUGUUGUUCAUUGAUGAGGUGGAAUUUUAAUAAUUUUAUUAGGUGGCAAUAAUUCAAGAAAAUUUAAAAUUGUUAAUUAGGCAAUGAGUUAGGUGAAUAUUUUGUAAUUUAGUGAAUUAUUUGUAAUUUAGGGUUGGUAUUAUUUGCACGUGUAAUAGUACAAAAAAGAUAAGAAGAAUCAUUUGAUUUGAUGUCUUUUUUUGUAUGCCAUGUUGAUAUUUUGUGAAUAUAAAUUUAUUUAUUUUAUAGAGAAAAUGUGAGUGUUUGAUAUCUUCUCUAUUUGUCUUUUGUUUUGUUAUUUUUUUCUUGGGUGAUUUCUUUUUUUACUUUUAAUGUACUCUGAAAGGGAAUCAAAUUAAAAAAAUUGAAUCGCGAUAGGGUGAUUGAUGAUAACAUUAAAAAGUUCAUAAAUAAUAUUGAUGAAGGCUUUUAGUUGAAGAUAGAAUUCAACGAUUAAAAAAAUAAUUUAUAUCGCGUGAUAUUUGAUGUGCGUCUGACGACCUUUGAAAGGAUAAUCUUCUUGAUGGAAAAUGGGGAAAUUGAACCAAGACUUUUUCUAGAUUUGCUAUUUGCUUGAUUGACGGGAAUAGAAAUAAGAUAAGAAUUAUGGCACUUUUUAUCAUACAAUUAAUUAGAGUUUAAAGUCUUUCUUUUUAUCACAUUCAACAAAUGUAGCUUUUAUAAUUAUAAGAUAUACGUAUAUAUAUAUAUAUAUAUAUAUAUAUAUAUAUAUAUAUAUAUAUAUAUAUAUAUAUAUAUAUAUAUAUAUAUAUAUAUAUAUAUAUAUAUAUAUAUAUAUAUAUAUAUAUAUAUAUAUAUAUAUAUAUAUAUAUAUAUAUAUAUAUAUAUAUAUAUAUAUAUAUAUAUAUAUAUAUAUAUAUAUAUAUAUAUAUAUAUAUAUAUAUAUAUAUAUAUAUAUAUAUAUAUAUAUAUAUAUAUAUAUAUAUAUAUAUAUAUAUAUAUAUAUAUAUAUAUAUAUAUAUAUAUAUAUAUAUAUAUAUAUAUAUAUAUAUAUAUAUAUAUAUAUAUAUAUAUAUAUAUAUAUAUAUAUAUAUAUAUAUAUAUAUAUAUAUAUAUAUAUAUAUAUAUAUAUAUAUAUAUAUAUAUAUAUAUAUAUAUAUAUAUAUAUAUAUAUAUAUAUAUAUAUAUAUAUAUAUAUAUAUAUAUAUAUAUAUAUAUAUAUAUAUAUAUAUAUAUAUAUAUAUAUAUAUAUAUAUAUAUAUAUAUAUAUAUAUAUAUAUAUAUAUAUAUAUAUAUAUAUAUAUAUAUAUAUAUAUAUAUAUAUAUAUAUAUAUAUAUAUAUAUAUAUAUAUAUAUAUAUAUAUAUAUAUAUAUAUAUAUAUAUAUAUAUAUAUAUAUAUAUAUAUAUAUAUAUAUAUAUAUAUAUAUAUAUAUAUAUAUAUAUAUAUAUAUAUUAGUUACUGAACGUUUUUUCUAUACACAAAAUAGUAAACCAACUCAAUCCAAACUUAGCUUAAUUGGACAUAAUAUAAAGUGAAGUAUAGCAAGUUUUUUGCUUUCAUUCACUAUUCAUUUUGGGUUCCGAAUGAAUCAAAUUCGCAUCACAUAAAAUUUUUUAAUGAAUUUUUAUCUACUCUAUUCAGAGAGAUCUAGUUAAGGAAAACUUCAUCCGACUACAAUUCUUGGUGACACAAAUUUAUUUUGAUUUAACAUUAAGUUUCCCUUUCUCCGUUUGUGGCAUAUUAUUAUUAUUAUUAUUAAUUUAAUUUAAUUAUUAUGAUUAUUGAAAAAGAGUAGGAAAAAGAUUUGCUGUAUUAUUCGAUUUGUUGUGUGUGGAAAAUUAUGGAUGAACAUAAAAUAUUUAGGUAUGGAUUGUCUUACUAGUUGUACUAGUUUUCCAAUAUUUGGUCAAAGAAAGUUAUCUACUAAUAUAAUGUUUGUCGAUUAAAAUACAACUAAUUAGGGUUGUUUUAAUUGGCAGACAUAGUUAUCUCAAAAUUAUAAUAUUCCUAUUAAUUUAUCACAUUUUAAAAAAUAGAAUAAAAUAAUAUCAAAUUCAAGAAAUAAAUUUAUUCUGAAUUUAAUUAUACUUAUAAGUUUUAUUUAAUUAAAUAAAUAAUUAAAUUUAUUUUUUAAAUAUAUUGUCUUAUCUAAUGACGAAAGACAACACAUGAAUGAGUGUCUUUGCUGGCUCAACUACACAGUAUACAAUAAAUUAUUAUUUCUCCAAUUUAUCUUGACUUCUAAUAUUACACCCUAAAAAGUGUGGGACCCGAUAUACUCAUUUUCACGAAUAUCCGUAUUUUGGAGUGGUAUUUAAUUUUUAUCCAUAAACGUAUUAAAUAACAUAAAAUGAUUGAAAAUAUCCUUGACAAUAUAUAUAUCGUAAGAAACCGUUUUGUAUCUUCUUUAGUUCUGUUAAAUAAUUGAGGAUAUUUUGACCCAAAAAAUUUCAUUUAAUGAGAAUUAAAAAAUUAAAGACCACCGUUUUGUAUAUCAAAUUUUAUAUGUUUAUUAAGCCAAAUUCUCAAUAUGUAGUUUAUUGGACUAAUAUAGUAUAAGGAACCCAGAAGGCCCAUGGUUCUUUAUUGCAUUUAGGCCCAAAACUUUGUGUGUGUUUUUCUCUUGGGAAUCGGUUGGUUCAUUUUCUAUAAAAGCUUUUUAGAAAAUAAAAAAAUAUGUAUAUAUCAUAUAUGAAUAGCACUCAAAGAUGUGGACUCGUAGUUAAUGAAGUAGAUAAAAAUCAUGAAAAAUCAAAGUUUGAAUUCGGGUGCAGAAAAAAUAUGUUAGUGUUUUUCUACGUAUAUCUAAACCUUACUGAGUAGAGUCAAUGGGGGACCUACAUUUAAGAUGUCGAGUGUUCAAGCAUCCAUUAAUUUCAAAUGUCCAUUAUAUAUAUGUGUGUGUGUGUGUGUGAGAGAGAGAGAGAGAGAGAGAUACACGGGAUAAGGUGAGAUAUUUCAGGAAUAUAUUUAUAUUGUGUUUGGUUGACUGUAUAAAUUUAUGUCGUCAACUAAACACUAUAUACAUUAUAUUCUAAGUUCAAUUCUGAAUAUCUCAUCUUAUUUCAUCCAACUUGAUAUUAUUUUAUCUCAUCUUUCACGUAAGAUAAACUAAUCUACAAAUUGUAAUCUCAGGACUAUAAUCCUCAAAUAAUUUAAUUCAUGAAUUAUAAUCACAAACCUAUAAUUAGUGUUGAAUACUAGCUCAAACACCACCAUUGGGUCACUCAAUUCUUCAUAACCUAAAUUUAGGGGGUAAGUUAAUUUAUGGAAAAAUUGUAUGAAAUAACAAACUAUUAAUUCAAAUUAAAUGCUAUAGACAUAUUUUAUUUUAUUUGUAAUUCGCAGCAAACAUCCCAAUUUUUUGCCAUUUGAUUCGGUAUACAAUUAGCCAUUUUCAGUAUACAAUUAGUCAUUUUAUACAUUUUGGUAUAAAAUGUGUUUGUGUUUGUAUAAAGCGAGAGAAAGUGUAUAUACAAAUACAAAUACAAAUACAUAUAUUUUCGUCCUAUACACUUAUAAUUAUACAAAUACAAAUCUUAUUAUACAAAUUACAAUGUAUAAAUGAAUUUAUACAAAACUGAACAACUUGUAUAAAAUUGGAUGUAUCUAGCGAAUUAUACAAAUCAAAAGCUCCAUCACAAACAUAAAAUUUGCUAUGUAGCGCAAUUAUGCAAACUAUAGCUAUGACACACAAAUAUAAUUUUUAUGUUUGCUAUAUGUGAAAAUUGCUCUUAAUUUAUUUUGUAUUAAAUGAAAUCCCAAAUACAAAAAAGGACUUACUUUUGAUGGGCCAUCAUUAUUUAUGGGACUUUAAAACAUUAUCCUCCACAAAAACAAAAGGUCAAAAUCAUAUUUUCUUUUCUUUUAGUAUCAUCAUUAGAUACCUCUUUUAACUCUUUUUUUCAACUUCUUAAUCUUUUGACUUUAAAUGGUAGUACAAUGCUUUGGAAGAUUCUCAAUAGAGUUUUGAACUCUUAAUGGCUAUUUCUUUUAUGAUGAUAAAGAUUGCGUCUCCACUUAACUUUAAUUAUGUCACUUUUCCAAAGCCAAACUUCAAAUGGCAUUAACUCACUUUUCUUAGUGGUGAUGAUGAAAUAAUGAACCCACCCAUUUCUUCAUCUCUUUUGUGCUAAAUUUGUUGGAUGACUUUUUGGCUAAGUCAUUACUCCUUUGUUUACUUCUCCGUUCACUUUUACUUGUUCAAUAUUUUAAAAGUAGAAUUUCAUUUUUACUUAUCACUUUUAGCAAAAAAAAUAAUAAUAAUAUUUUUUUAUAUUUUAUCUUUCAUUAAACAGAUCACUUAAUGUGCAAUUCAAUUAUGUUUUUUUUUUCUUGAUUCAUUUCUAAUCAAGAUAUAUAGAUCUCUUGUUUAUGGACUAACGAAAUUGUACACUCAACAUUAAGGGGGGGGGGGGGGUAGUUAUAACAUAAUAACAUGGCUUACUUGUUCAAUAUUUUAAAAGUAGAAUUUCAUUUUUACUUAUCACUUUUAGCAAAAAAAAUAAUAAUAAUAUUUUUUUAUAUUUUAUCUUUCAUUAAACAGAUCACUUAAUGUGCAAUUCAAUUAUGUUUUUUUUUUCUUGAUUCAUUUCUAAUCAAGAUAUAUAGAUCUCUUGUUUAUGGACUAACGAAAUUGUACACUCAACAUUAAGGGGGGGGGGGGGUAAAUGAGUAUAUCAUGUUAGGCUAGAUUUAAGCGGAUUAAAUGAAUUGAGUUAAUAUGGACUAAAUAGUUCAAAGGUUAUUUGGAUCGAGCUGAGAUGUGGUAAGUUAAAUUAUGAUAAAAAUGGAUCAAAACAACUCCCAACUCUCACUGAGUUUAGAUUUUUUUGUUCCUUUUUCUAAUAAUUUGUUUAAUUACUUAAACUUUUCUUUUCUUAUAAGUUAUAACUAUAUAUAACAUAUCAAGAAAAAAAUAUGUAUCAAUUUGGACUAUUUAUUUACUCUAAAUCACUACAAUUUUUUAAUGGUUGAAUUGAGUUGGUCAAAAUGGACAAGUUAAUAAACGGUCUAGCCAUUAAUCCACCAAAUUUUGAGCAAAUUUUAUGUAUUUUUCAUCAAUUAAUUUUGACAAUCUUAUUUAAAAAUCAUUAUUAAGUGAGUUGUUUAAUGAAAGAUAAAAAGUCAUAGUAUGAAUUUGUUUUGGUUUUACUAAGUCCACUCCCCUUCUAAAGUUUUUUUUUUUUAUAAGGCCUCAAAUUUGCUGCUAAAAGGUGAUGACUAAAAUCAUUUGUACAUGACUUUAACCAAAUGGUCUAAAUCAUUAGUUACAAAUUUGACCGAACCUAAUAAAUUUUUAUUCAAAAUCUGCUUUUGUAUUAAAAAUAUUUUAUUUCAAACACAAUAAGCUGUCAUAUCGUAGAAUUUAAACUCAUAAACUUUAAAUUUUGAAUAUAAUUGUAUCGUGACGAAUAAACUCUUUAUCACUUGAUAGACUAAUCGAAUUAAAAGUAUUUGCUAUUAUUAGAUAUUCUUGUCUUAGCAUAAGUAAAUUGCCCAAAUGAAAAGACAUAGAAAUUGACAGUAGAUAAGAAAAUUUGCACCAAAACACACACACACAUGUACUUAUGGAAAAAGAAUAGACAAGAUUUUCACCUAAUAAAGCAAAAUAAAAGAACUUCCAUUGAAAACUGGACAAGAAAAUAACAAAUGCCAAAAAGAAAGGUUUAUGAGUAAAGACACAAACAUUAUCUUACUUCAUGUCAUGAACAGAAUAACAUAUACUUUAUAAAUAAUAUAUGUCUGAUAUUUGUAUUUGAGCUUUAUUAAAUUUGUGAUUAGCGUCAAAAAGUUUCGCAUCAAAGAGUAAAACGAUAUCUAACAAAAGUAACUUUAUAUCCAAUUCAACCUUGCUUGAAUACAAAACAUUUAAUUAAAAAUGAGCGACUAUUUAUCACUCUACCAAAACAUUGGUAUAAGGUCCCUUAUUGCUAAUAAGACAUUCAAUAUUCAACUACUCCACAACCUUCUUGUUAAUCGUUUGAUGUCUGGUCAUUCUUCUCUUUUUCAUUAUUCAAUAAAAAAAUACAUUAUAUUGAUCUCUUUAUUGUGCUAAAUAACUCUGUUGUAUCACGUUCAAUUUUCAGUAGAUAUUAUAAAUAUACAUAUUAGAUGAUUUUUUAUUUAUUUGUUCCAAUCAUGGUGAAUAAAGUUAUCUGAUAGGUAUUCUGUGAAAUUAGCCUAAGUGCGCGUAAGGUGACCCAGAAAUUACAAUUAUAAAUAAUAAUAAUAAUAAAAAAAAAAACUUUGUUGUACUAGUCUUUACCAGAGAGGAACCCAUAAGUUGGAGCAAAAGUUAUCUUCAAAAUGUUGUUUCUAAACUUUAUAACAUUUGAUUAAUCAACAAAUACCUUAUAUAUGUACAAUAUUUGCCUCAAUAAUUUAGUCAAUAAAUGAAAUUAUACUGUCAUAAAAGUUUUCAAAUGUUUGACCCCAUCUUCCAUGUACAACAACCCUUAUUUCAAAUUAUUUAGUACACUGUUUUAUAUACAAUAAAUAAUUGAAUGAAAUUGUCUAAUAAUGCAAAUCAAUGAUUUAUGAAGAACAAUAAUUAUAGAAGAGUAAAUUAUGAUAAUAACAAAACAGAAGGUAGUUGGGAUUCUGAUGGGACAUAUCAUGUCUAUUGGUCAAGAGACCUCAUGGAUUUAUUUUCGAGUUAUGUCAUCAUCGAACUUAAAAAUAUAUAUACUAUACGAACUUAAUUAUGUCGUACCUCAUAAAUUCAUCACUUAUAUUGCUCAUUUCGAUGAAUUUUCCUAAAGUAUUAUCAUAUGUUAUCUCUUUAUUAGAAUCGUGUCGGUCUAAAAGUCUGACACUCAGCUCCUUUUUAUGAAACUAUAAACCGCCAUCCGUUCAUAAGUGUCACAUAAGAGGUGGAAUUGUUUAAGAGAGUCUAAUUAAAGUAAAUACUUUCAUCGGACAUUUAUAUCAAAUAAUAUUAAUUUAUUUCACUACUCUAUGAUUUAUGAGUUCUUUUUGUUUGUUUUUUUGGUUUAAGCACUGAAUUUUAUAAAUUAUAAAAUAUUUUUUAACCUCAAUUAGUUGGUCAUUUAUUAUCACGUGGUUGAAUUGGUUGUUCUUGUACUUCUAUUUAUUUUGAUAAUAAUGGAAAAUAUACGUAGUACAAUAAUAAUUGCAGGAGGAUUAUUAUAAUUUUUUUAUUUGAUAUUUUUUUUAUAAUAUAUAGUACUGAAAAAACACAUGAAUGGUUCAUAAUUUAUGAAAGGUCCCCCUAUCUAUAAAUGUGAAAAUGACAAAUGCACGGAGCUAGGGACCAAAGGCCUUUAUUCUGGUGUAUAUUUAUGGACCCCUCAAACCCCUCUUAUAUUGAACGGUAAAAUUAAUUUAAGAAAAUAUAAAUAUUUAGUUUGUUAAAGCUUGAGCAAGUUCAUAAUUCAUAUGUAUUAAAUUUUGUUUAAUAUCUCUCAAUUUAGCAUAUCUAAGAAUUGAGUAGAUUUGAAAUAUGUAAUUCAAGUUAAUUCAUGAAAAAUUUAAUUAAAACUUGAUAAGAGUUAGGUUAUGACUUGUCCAGUUCAUACAAGUUGGAGUAACCUUUAGGUGGUUUAAUGACUAGCACAAUCUUCUCCCUAUUUUUUCUUUCUUUCUUGAGUUGGUAUAACUAUAUUUAGAAAAUUUAUUGUCAAUUUUGAUUAAUUUUACAUUACUUGUCAGUUUGUUAAAAAUACUUGCAAUCAUCCUUCUUUACUCGAAUUAAAAAUCGAUCUUGAAUUGAGAAUCGAUAAUGUAAAUAAGGUCACACAAAACUAAUUGCUUUAAAAUCCUUCAAUGAAGAAGUAAAAUACCCCAAAACUAACUAAGUAUGACUAUAUUAUGAGAAUUUAUUACGAAUUUUGAUAAAUUUUACAUUACCUAUCAGUUUGUUAAAAAUACUUGCAAUUCUUCUUUGUUAUUUGAACUUGAAAAUCGAUAACGUAAAUAAACUCACACAAACCUAAAUACUUUAGUAUCCUUAGUCAAGAAGUAAAAUACCCCAAAUCUUUUCACUUGUAUGAACAAUCCUUUUUUGAUCAACUAAUCAAAUAUUAGCACAAGGUGUUUGGUUGCCUAAUUGUUUGUUCUUCUUUGUUUCACCAACCAACCAAUUAGUGAGUAUUGGGAAACAGUAAUUAUGACAAGUAAAAUUUAGGAAUCCAAAGCAACUAGAUAGUGACCAUUGGACCCCAUAUAGAUAUACUCUAUAGAUAUUGUUAGCAAAAUUUAUGGCCUUAUGGAACUUCCUCAAUAUUUUUUUUUUGGGAAAACAACCAUUGUGUACCCUUUUCUAGGUAACAAAAAAUGGGUUACAAUUGCCAAGACUAAACAAGUUUUCUUUUUAAAUAGAGAGUCGCUUCUGUUAGAGAGUGUUUUACUUUUUAAUAUGAUAUUUUUUAAUGCAAAUUUAGAUUUAAUUUGAAUUUAAUGUGGAUAUCAAAUGGUCAAUAAAUAUUAGUUAGGAGACGUACGAGUUUCUUCUUAGUAGAGAUUUUUUUUUGUAAUAAUCACGACUCGUGGUCAUUGAUUGUCGAAAAUUCUCAUGAAACAUAUGAAUUUCCCUUGUCCAUGUAAUAAUUAUUGAGUCAAGACCAUUCAUAAGGGAUGCUAAUUAAUUAAUUAACAUGUUAAUCCAUUAGUUUGUCCUACAUCUUAACCCAAACCUAUAUACAGUGUAUAAAAAUAUCAUUAUGAGCAUAAAAAAUAGAUAAUUUUCCACAUUAGUUGACAACUUGGGUUCAGGGUGUAGCUAUACUAUAGUCAGGGUGUCCAAUUGGACACCCUUCUUCAAAAAAUAAUAUCGUAUAUAUAAGUAAAAUGAUACAUAAAGUGAUUAAAUAACAUAUUUUAAUUUGGACACAUUUGACAGCCUUUAUUUGCAUCCCCUAAACAAUAUCUAGCUAUAUUGUGAAUAAAGAGAGUUUAUGUGCUUUUGUGAGGAUUUCUGAUGACUGAUGACACGAGUCGUGACUAUUAUAGAUCCCCAUUCAAUUACUAUGGUCCACAACAUAUAUACGUCUUUUUUGAUGCAAAGAUAGAUCUUAUGUGAAAACUGUAACCGUCUCUAUAUGAUGGAUAAACCUUUUUGAACACCCACAAUGGUGUUUAUAUAGGCUAAAUCUAGGGUUUAGCGCGGAGAAAUAUUUAAUGAGUUUAGGGACCAUCUAACGCCGUUAUGAGUGGACUCAACCCAAUAAUAUUACAUUUGAACAUGUGUUAGAUCAAUCACUUGUGGCUAGGAGUUUCGAACUCUUCCAUGCUUAAGCACGCUGAAUUUAUAUAGUAAUUGCUUUUAGAAGUAUUAAUUAAAACAUAAUAAAAACUUAUAGGAUAUUUAAAAUUUUAGUUUUGAUUUUUUUGAGAUUUUUUUUCAAACAAAUAUUGUUUAUCCGCUCAUUUAACAUUCUUAUUAGUAGAUGAAUUUACUUUGGCAACUUCUAGAUUUUUUUUUUUUAUUAUUAUUAUAAAUGCCAAUGUGGAAAAAAUAUUCUUAUAAAAAUAAUUCGUGUCCUGGUGAUGAUGGAGUUGAAGAAAUGGAAAAUAUUAAUACAUAAUAAUGUGAAAAUAAUUUCGUGUGAAUGAUUAAGUCAAUAUAUAUAUAAAUUAUUCUUUCAAAGGGACCACUAAUUAUGGAAAAUGUGAAAAUAGUAUUCAUAUGAUUUUUAGGUGUACUUUUCAUAUUUAUUUAUUUUUAUAAAUAUAAAAAUAAUGACUCACCCUCACCUUCCCUAGGUAUAUUCAUAGUAAGUUGUAUAGACAUGCACAUAUCCAAUGUAUAUGAUUAUGUGUAUUUUAUUUUUUUAUAUAAUAAAGGGGAUAGGAAUAUUGGAUAGAAAAGUUUGGUUAACGAAUCUUAUAAAUAAUUUAAAUAAUAAUGAAAAAAAAUUAAAAGAACAGUGAUCGAAAAUAAAUAUAUCAAGAGAGAAAAGGUUGUACAUUAAAAUGAAAUUUCUCAAAAUAAUUUUUAUUUAAGCCAUUGAAUUGAAGAAAAAAAAAGCAGAAGUCUCGAAUUCAAGCAAUAGAAAUAAAAAAUAAUAAUAUAUUUAUUUGUUUUUAACUAUAUGAAAGCAUUUAUAAUGUUUUAAAAUCUAGCAGUACCUUUUCAAAGAGAACUAUUUUCCAAAAUUAUUUCUUUCAUGAUUUUUCAAAACCAAACGAAAAAUCAAGUUCAAAUGCCACCAAAUAGUUGUUUGCACUUUUAGUAAAGAAGUCUUUAAAUAAAUAAAUAAAGAUAGUUAUGGUGUAUAAAACAUCUCGCAUUAGAAUAAUUUGAAAAAGAGAUACAUUCCAAGGAUGUCAUGUAAAUAGGUUAUUCCAAUGCAAAAAAUAUUAAUGUCUACUUUCACGAUUUAGGUCACAUGAAAAUAAUUUUAUCAUUACUUCAAGACUUCUCUGAUUAUUUUUCUUUUUAUUUAUCUGAAUAUUCCACUGCCAAUGCAAGUGGAUUUUAAAGACAUUCUCAUGACAAGAAUUAAACUAAAGGAAAAAAAAAAUAGUUAAAAGUAAAAUACUAGUACAUAUUUGAUUAUUUCAUUAAUUUGAAUGUAUAUUAUUAGAUUCCAUUUAAACAGCUAGUCAAAUUUUUGGCUUUAUGCACGUUAUAAAUUCAACGUCAGAUUUAAUUAAUAAUUUGUUGAUUUCGUGCCAAGAUCAACGCUACUCCUUUCUACAUUUUUCCUAAUUUUAAAGUUUAUUUAAUUUUGACCCUUUACCCUUCUAGUUGGACUUUUACACCUACUUUCAACCUCCUAAUUUGUUUUGUUUUGAGGUGAAGACGUGGUAUGAGAGGACUUGCUAGUAAAAUUUUGUUAUUGUGGGUCUCGUAGAGCUAACACUAUCAUGACGCUACAUUGUACUGACGUGACUUGCAAAUAAUGUUGGUACUAUAUAACCAUAUAGGCAAGGCUCGGGACCAUCUCCCUUCACAAUAAAUGUGUAAUGUUAUUUGUGAAACUUGUUUUCUCUAUUUUCACUAAAAAAGUCAUUUUUUUUCCAUUUGUAAGGAACUUGUUUUUCUAAUAGAAAUGCACCUUAAUAUCUUCAUUAGCGAUAUAUCCAAAUUAUGCAUUAAAUAUACAUCAAACUUGUUAAUUUAUGAAGAAAUACCACGUAAUUUCGAUUUAUCUAAAAUAUAAAUAAAGACUCUUUACAUCAAUAACUUUUUUCUAAAAGUUUGAAUUGAACAAGAAGUAGAUGCUUGACAUCAAUAUACAUUUUUCUUUUAAAUUUUUUUACACCAACUCAAAUAAAGCUAUAUAUAAUAAAAUGAAAGAAGUUUUAUCCAAUCUAAAACCAAAUUCAUGUAUUUCAUUAUUCUAUCAUAUAUAAUCUUAUUUUUGAUAAACCAAAUAUUCAUAAAAAUGUAUAUACACUUAACAAUUCAAAAAAUAUUAAUCCCAACAUUGUUAUUUUAUUUGAAAAAAAUCGCUCACGUGCAAUAUCUCGCAAAUCAUAUAGACAAGUCCAAUAUGAUAAAUUCAAUUGAGAAGACUUUGGCUAAGGGAAAUCGAUCUUCAAUCUCCCUUAUGGAUGCCACGUGCACGUCCUGCAGACCUGCACAAUUCUAAUUUUGUUUAGAACCCAUAAAACUCACAGCUACUAUUCUUUACUGAUCUUUGAGUGCUCAUUAAAUAAAUUCGUUCAUAUAUAAUAUCUCGCAAAUCACACAAAAAAUAUAAAUCGUACUAAGAUAAAUUCGAUAUAACGAGGUCAAUUGAGAAAACUUUGACAGAAAAAUCAAUUCCUUACCUGUAUUAAUCUCAAUAUUAUAAUUAACCAAACCACAUCUUACUCUUCAACAACUCAUAAACAAACCCCCCAAGUUCCUAGAAUCCUACUUUUUCAUUGCCAUCCACUUUACACAACUCACAUUUCUAUAACUUCCAAACAACUCCAACCCCCAUAAAGCCCCACCACCAACAUCUCUUACCACAAUCGAAUCUACAUUGGCUCGAGGGUGUUUAUCUUAGUUUUUCGAUAAAAAAAUUAUACGAUAUUUUCAUGUAUAUAUAUAUAUAUGAUAAGUUUGAAGUUGCUGAACACAAGAUUAGAAGACUGACUAAGUAGUUUAGAAGUUCGAAUUUCAAUUCCACACAAUACUUUGUAAGUGAAAAUAUGUAUAUACGCUAGUGAAAAAUCUGAAUAUGCCAUUGCGAUUCGAUAGAAGAAAAAAUAGAAAAAAAGCCAAAGAAAAAUCCAAAAAUCAUAUUAACAAAGAAAAACAAAAUAACAGAAUAUUUUGAUCAUCACAGUUCACAAAAUUCCCUCAAAUUCACCAGCUUACCUGUUCCCCCCCCCCCCCUAUAAAAGUCCACCCCCUACCCCACCAUAACCCAUUAUAAAUGUAUCUAUAGGUCAGUAUAUACAAAUUUUCCGGCGAGUAAUGCUCCUUCUUCGUCGUCGUCUUAGCUGAGGUGUGAAAAUCCGGUGAGGUAUGGCGGACGACGUCGUUCCAAAGACGUUUCGUGCGUUAGUAGAAAGUGCAGAGAAGAAAUACGCAAGAGUACGGGAUUUACCGGCGUACGGACGGUGGGGAACGAGUAACCACUACUUUCACAAGGUGUUCAAGGCGUACAUGAGGUUAUGGAAGUACCAGCAGGAGAACAGGGUGAGGCUUUUGGAGUGUGGAUUACAGCGUUGGGAGAUCGGAGAGAUCGCUUCACGGAUCGGUCAGCUUUACUUCAGUCAGUAUAUGAGGACUAGCGAAGCGAGGUUUUUACUCGAGUCGUGUAUUUUCUAUGAAGCGAUUUUGAACAGGAAGUAUUUUGAAGGUUCUGGAAAAGAUCGAAUGGUGAGGUUUAAGGAGCUGAGGUUCUAUGCCAGGUUUUUGAUGGUUUCGUUGAUUUUGAACCGGACGGAAAUGGUGAACCUGCUGGUUGAGCAGUUUAAAGCUAUUGUUGAUGACAGUAAAGCUGCUUUUCCGGUACUAGUUCCUUUACUUUGUUAAUUAUGUUUCCAUUUUUAUGGCUAUUUCUGAGUUCUGUCCUUAAUUUUAUGGAAAUGAAGCUUAAAUUUAGAAAAAAUGUCAUUUUUAUGAUAGACAUACAGUAGUUUAGCUGUCUAAUUGAGGAAUUAACAUGAAAUUUGAACAUAUUUUAGUUGAUUUUUCAGUCAGCUUUGGUCAGUCUAUUUGGAAAGCCAGAAGUCCAUCAAUUAAAAGGAAUUUGUCAGAUGUAGGGUAAAAUUCACAAAUUUAGCUGUUAGAUUGAGGAAUUAAAAUGAUUUUGUUUUAGCAUUUUUCAGUAGAUCACUUAAUUUCGCUUUCCCUCGGAGUGUUUGGAAAACAAGAAUCCAUCUUUACCUCUAGCAAAUUAGGUGCCUCUUCCAGCUCCUUAUUAUAGUAAAAAAUUGGCCCCUGAGUUAAAUUGAUUAGGCAUGUUGUAUUAUCUUUAGCAUGCGAGUAGUGCUUUUUAGUACACGCCAAAUGUCCGGACUUAAAGAGCUAAUGAGGUACGUAUUAUAGCUUCUCAAGGAUAAGCUCUAUCAUGCAUUUUGUUGGUUGAAGUGAUUGAGAACUUGUGACAGUUGAGUCAUAUAAUAUGACUUAUAUGGACUCAGCUUUGUCAUGUAGUAUACUUUUGGUUGUAGUGAUGGAGACCUGUCUUUUUAGUUCAUAGUAAAGAAUGGUCAUUGUUUUUAUUGAGCCGAGGGCCUAUAGGAAACAACCUCUCUACCCGGUCUGCGUACAGCCCACCCUCCAGACCCACUUGUGGGGUUAUACUGGGUUGUUGUUGUAGUGAAGAAUGGUCACUCUCUUAAAAAAUGGAGAAAAGUUUCAGUUGAGAUAACCUUUUUACUGGCUACAUGACUACCUCCAGAGUUGUGCUGGGAUAAGACCUCUUAUAACUAAGAAAAGGAAAAAAAAGAAAAAAUAGAGGAAAUUAAGUCGUUGGUGCCUUUGUUGUCUUACUUCAAGUUGUUCAGACCUAAAGCUUUGACCAUUCCACACUAUAUUAUGUUGGUGUAUCCCAGUGUUGUGAAAGGUGAUUGCCUCGUCGCCAUUGCGAGGCGACCCUUCAUCGCCUUUUAGCUUUGUGGCGAGGCGAUCUUCAAAAGGCAAUGCCAUGACGACAAAAGGCGAGAGGCAAGAAGCGAGAAAGGCGUCGCCUUUUGUAUUUUCUUAAAACAAGGCGACCAAUUUAGGGGUUUAAAAGUUAAAAGGUAAUUUUAGGGUUUUCGACUAGACUCCUCCGGCGACUAGCCAGACUUUUCCAGUGAUUCCAAAGUCUAACCAAUACAUAUUUCUUCUAUUCUUCUUCCUCUGUUUCUUUUUCCUUCUUAUUCAAAACUUCAGAGUCACUUCUACCUUUGUUUUGACUUUUGUUCUUCUUUUUCUCAUUCAAGUUCUAUUCUUUUAGUAUGUACUAUCUAUUUUUAGUUUUUGAAUUGAAAUAUUUGCUAAUAUGUUAUUACUAUUGAGAUUUUGAUUAUUUACAUAUGCAAUUAAAUAUUUUAAUUUUUUGGUAUUAAAUGGUGCCGCACUUCUAAAAGGCAAGCGCCUCGCCGCUCGCCUUGUCUUGUGGCGAGGCAGACCCUCGUCGCCUUUUAUCACCUUUCACCGUCCAAAACACUGGUGUAGCCUGAAAAAUGUUUUUUAAUUCACCUUAAUUGCCAAAAGUGCUAAUUGCCUCUUUAUUUUGUACUCUGGAAAGAACACAUAAGGGUGUAUACAAAAAUAUAUACACACUUCUAACCGUUUUGAAUAUUUAACUUACAUUCUUACCUAUGUAUGCGAAUAACUUUAACAUUAUGAAUUUGGGGGAGGUGCAUUGGGGUCUGGGAAUGGUGAACCCUGCACAAGCAUUCCACGACUUUCUUCCAUCUCUGUCUUUUGCAUUUUUUAUGGUGUCAAGGAAUACUCUCUUUGUUUUGUUCUCUCUCUUUCUUUUGUCUUUUAUAUACAGAUCUGUACACAUCUUAUGUGUAUAUAUGAACACUUUGACGUAUCUGUUAUAAUAUACAUUUGAAGAGAGAGACUUUAAGAAGUUUGGUUGAGUUGUAUGCUGUGUUAGUGAUAGUAGAGGUUGUCACUCAAAAAUUAAAAAGGAAGUGUGUCUGAGGAAAUAUCUUACAUGUUCCUAAUGAAUCAAUGGUCUAUAUUAUGCAAGAAUAUUUGCAUAUUAUCUUCAAAAGGCUCCGAGUGUGAAUGCAGUUUUUGUUACUCCCAUUUACUCUAUGAACAUCUGACCACUAUGUUUUGCAAUGGUUACUUAGUACAUAGGAGAUGAUUCUCAUACUUCAAUUUCUGGAACUAGCUGAGCAAGUACAAAGUUGAGAACUGAACAAACUACCCAUCAUUUCUCUUCUUUUCAUAUCCAAUGAGAAACUGGUAGAUUAGUUGCUUUGUAGAUGAAUUUACUUUGAUUGUGAUUGGAGCACACUUGCAUCUUCCAGUUGCAUUAAACAAUUUAGUGUUGCUUCAGCUACUUUAGCCCUGUACUUAGUAUCUAUGUUUCAACAGAAAUUCUGUACUUCUUUCUGUAAGAUGAACCAUAGUAAUAAUUUCACAGGGUACCAACUUCAAAGAGUGGAGACUGGUGGUGCAAGAAAUUGUUAGAUUCGCAAGAGUUCAUUCUCCAUCUCCUGAUGCCAGGCCUUUGCGAUAUUGUGCUCUCUUUGAUUCACAUCCAUCAUCUCGUCCGUACGUGGCUCGCUUCCAUGCUAAGAAGGUGCUAAAGUUUCGAGAUGCACUGUUAACAAGUUAUCACAAAAAUGAGGUAUUGACAACAUCCACUUACCUCAGUGUUAAGUUGUGCUCAGUUUGUUGCACAAUUAACCUACCCUUAUUUUUAUUUCAGGCCAAAUUUGCAGAAUUAACUCUGGACACUUACAGAAUGCUGCAAUGCUUGGAAUGGGAACCCAGUGGAUCUUUCUAUCAAAGAAGUCCAGUUGAACCACGAGUGAAUGGUGCUGUGAUUGACCAAUCUAUUACUUCUGGACUGAUAGAUAUUAACUUGGCUGCUGAGAUGAUGGAUCCAGCUCUGCCUCCCAAUCCCAAGAAGGCCGUUCUUUACCGUCCUAAUGUUCCACUGUUGAUAUCUGUGAGUUCUGUUAUGUUUACUGUGUUUCCAUUUGGAUUAAUCUAUUUAAGGAGUCCUAUACUGAAAUACUGCUUCAUAUAAAGGGAAGAGGAAUGUAGAAAUUAAUCUUGCUGGAUGAUAUGUUGGUUUAAGUUAUUUAGUUCCGUGUCUUGGGAACUGAUCGAACAAAUAAUUGCUGAAGCACUUGAUACUAUGCAAAACAUGGGAAGUAAAACUAGAAAUUUCACUCUUGUUUCUUAUGUUGCCCAAUGCCCACUGUAUGUUGCCUGAAUGCUCGAUGCUAAUAAUGAUUUCUUUGCACCUGAACCCACAAUAGCCAUUUAAAAUAAUCUACUUCAACUGUGAACCCUGUCCAAGUGCUCAUAUCUACUUCGAUUAUGGAAUAAUACCUUAUCUGAGUGAUUGCUUCUGGCACUCCUCCCUUACAAUUUUUGAUGCUCCUAGUGUGUAUCCUUACUCAGUCGUUUUGUUCUGGCACCCGCAGGUCGUCGCUACAAUGUGUGAGGAGCUCCCUCCAGAGAGUGUGGUAUUAAUAUAUAUUUCUGCAUCAGGUUUGUGACUUUUAAAAAAUAUUUUUUCCUAACCAAAGCAUCUGGUUAGCUACUUAAUCGAUGAAAUUCAGCUCCUGAUAUGCUAAUUGUGGCUGAAAUCUCAAUUCUUUGAUAUAUUUCCAGGAAACACAAUUCAGAGUACCACCUCACACACAGAAAGCUCUUCUAGUUCUAGAAAAUCUUCGAAGAACAGUGUUCUUUCUCGUACUUCGUAUGAACAAAAGAGUGCUUUACAUGAAAAUUAUACCAACACCAAUGGAGAUACGGGUCAAUAUUUCGAGAAUUGUUUGUGCUUAGGUCCUAGCAGAAGUGGAGGUAUACCAGCAGAAGUUGAUUAAUGUGUUGUUCAUAAAAUGGUUCAUGAUUAUCUCAUUGUUCUAAAUCUAACUGCAUGAUUUUUACUAUUUGGAUUUUUGCAGGUUCAAAUAACCUCUAUCCAGGCGAUCUUAUUCCUUUCACACGAAGACCUCUCUUCCUAAUAAUCGAUAGUGACAACAGCGAUGCAUUCAAGGCAGGUUUGUCAAAACUGUGUCUAACUCAUUGAAUGAUGAUGAUCUAUCCCUGAGCAAGACACACAUUGGAAUGUGUGUCUGGGAUUCUACUUGUUGUCUAGAAUCUUUGUAAUAAUGCUUUUGAGAGAGAAUAACCAAAUAUUUUGGUGACUUCUAGUGAGUAAUGAGAUGCAAUUGCAGAUGAUACGAGAAAAAACUUUGGAUUAUCACAGCUUCUUGUGGAUAUUAAUCUUGCAUAUUGUUCAAAUCAAAACACAGUAAGCGUAUGAUGAGAUAGUGUCAAAUUAGAGGAUCCAUCAUUCCAUUUUCUGGCCUUCUUAAGCUCAGUGUUUUAUGAAACUGUGGAGUGUUAAGUAAAAAUCUAGCUUACUCUCAUUUGCUCCCUAGAGUAUAAGUGGAAUACAAAUCUAGGUUGGUUCGGUGGUAACAUCUGUUAUAGAUAAUCUUUACCAUUCUCAAAAAAAAUCAAUCUGUUAUAGAUAAUCAUUUUUCUGUACUGUAGUUGUUUCCAAGUAUUGAUUUGGCUCUCAUAAAUUACAUAUAACUGAUAGAAUUAUAUUGUGGAACAUUGGGAUGAAUAGCCAAAGAGAAUCCUGUAGUUUUUUCUGCAGGAUUCAGUUUCCAUUCAGUAACCUUUCUGCUUACCCAGAGAAUUCCUACCUGAGCUACAAACAUCUAAGAUCUCCAAAUGCCUACAUAUCUUGAGACUUUUAGAUGAUUGUAGUUAUGUUUUAGUCCUUACUAUGCCUGAUAACAUGUUGGGCUUCUGAAUGUCCAAAAUUAUGUGUUUAUUGUUCUUGAUCACGUUUGUUGAAUUAUGUGAGGCGGUUCUUAUUGAAGUGGUGAGUUGUUGAAGAAGGGACAGUUUGAUUUUUCCAAAUAUAUAACUGCUGUUAUUCCCACCUUAUUCAGUACUACUCCCUCUGUCCCAAAAUAAGUCACCUUAGCAAAAAAAAAAAUUGUCCCAUAAUAAGUGUCACCUUGUGAAUUCAAGACAAAAAUUAGUAUGUUUUCCAACUAUACCCUUAUACUCCAUCUACUUAUUAAUAAUAUUUAAUUUUCAAGAGACGGACACUUCAUCAAAAAAAAUUCAAGAGACAUUUAUUAAAUAGGGUAGUUUAGUAAACUACAUAUUGUAUGUAUUCAUUUCUUAAUGACAUGAUUUUUGUUAAGGGGACACUUAUUUUGGGACGUUGAGCAAGUACAUUUUAAAAGCUACUCAAAAUCAAUUGCUUCUCCUACCAAUCAUCAAUAUGAAUGUAUUGGCUGUUUUUCUUCUCAUCUGUUUGGGUGGUUGGAAAAUUAUUGUUGUAAAUAUUGUAUUUCACGUAUGACUUAUUUUAUUGCAAGUUCAAUUUUAAAAAUUAUCUUUGAG